UCUAACUGGUUUCAUUCUUUCAUUAUUCUCUCAAAACCCCAAUCCCAAAUCCUUUAAUCUUCUUUCAAGAAAAUUUAGUUACUUUUGUUUUGUUAUCUGAACAUUUAAUCUGAAUAAUUGGUUCAGUUUGUAGAAGAGCUUGGAUACUCGAUUUUUAUUAAAAGAAUAUUUGAUUUAUCGCCUUUUGGCGAGAAAUGAUAAGGGUUUUGACGAUGACAAGAUUGGAGGAGAGCAACUGGACGAUGGCAAAGUCUUUUGGGUCAUUUGGACUAGGGGGAUUACUACUGCUGGCGGCGUUGGCUGCUUCUAUGAUGGUUCUUCCGCUGGUGUUGCCGCCGCUACCGCCUCCGCCAUUGAUGCUUCUGCUGUUUCCAGUUGGGAUCAUGGCUGCUCUCAUGUUCUUGGCGUUUUACCCCACGGAGGCUACUGGAAAUGUCGUUGUUCAUACAGUAUAAGAACACAUGUUAAACGUGUCUUUCAUAGGAAGAUGGUCGGCCAUUGGGUCGGCGGCUCUGCUGAGGUCGUAGAUGUUGUUGAUUUCUUAUGACUAUAUAUUUGUACAACAUUUACAUUACUUUAUUGUUAAUUAUUUCUUACAAAUGAAUUAUACAUUCAAUUUUGAGAAAAAAAAAAAAAAAGAAAUUUGAAAGUAUAAACAUCAUAGAAAAAAUUUGUGAAUAAUUCCCUUUUCUUCUUUGUUUUCUACAUUUAUGGGGUUAUUAAUACAAAAAUAAUGCAUUUUAUGGUUUAAUGAUAUUAUCAAUGUGUUUAUCAAAAUAAUUAUUUAGUAGAAUAUUUUAUUUUUUGUUCUUAAGAUUUGAUUUUCGUAAAAAGAAAUUAAAAAUAAAAUCUUAAAUACAUGAUAUCAAUGUUAUUAAAUUUGAUAACUUUAAAUACGUUAAAAAAAUUAAAUAAAAAAAAUAAAAAUAAUAUAAUUUAAAAUUUUAAUAAAAAUUAUAUAUGUAUUUGAUAAAAAUAAAAAAUAUAUUUUAUAUUUGACGAAUUUAAUAUAAUUAUUUUUAUUUUUAUAUGUGUUUAAUAUAAAAUAAAUAUUAUAUAAAUAUAAAUAUAAAUAUAAAUAUAACAAAUAUAUCUUUAAAAUGAUUAAGGCGAAAAAAAUAGAAACAAUCUAACAAAGGAGCUGAAGAGCAGCCAUAAAACUUUAUGGAACAAGAGUGAAUAGGAAGUUGCACGAUUCAGCAGCCUUUUUAAACCAUGUUCAAAAUGGUUCAACCUUAAUGCUCAAAAACAUUAUUAUUAUUAUCUCAUGCUUUAAAAUUAGAUUAGCAUUUCAAUUUUGGAAAAGUUGGUCGUAACUACAGUGAUUUUGAAAAGCAUUUUGGCCUCAUGGGAUAUUAUUCUUGUGAUCAUAUCACAAAAAUAAUUGAUAUAUGUAACUUUGACACAAUUAAUAUGAACUCCUAUGUUCAUCAAAUAACAAUGUUCUACCUUUCUUCAAGUCUCAAUGCGCGGUUUUAGCCGCCUAAGGUUGAACAUGAAUUCUUUUUAUACCAUCUCUAAAUAUAUUGUUAUUGAUUUUUUUAAAAAUAUUACAGUAAUUUUUAAUUUAUUGAUGUAAAUGACAUAAAUUUAUUUAAUUUGGAAAUAUCAUAUUUUUCUACGUAAUUCAACUUAAACAAAAUUAAAUUAUAAUUAAAUUGAUUCAUAUAAUCACCUUUAGUAAAUGACAUCAUACUGUGACAUUUUUUUAUUAGGCGUGUAAAUGAUAUAUUAGUAUUUAUAAAUUACUCAGGUUCGAUUAGAAUAAAAUUCGAAUUCGACUCAAUUAUUAUCGAAUCAAGCUCGAGCUUGAGUAACUUGAUUUAUUAAUCGAGUCAAGUUUGAAUAUUUUUAUACUGACUCGAGUAGCUUGCGAGCCUAAUCGAGUUUUUAUAUUUUAAUAUAUUAGAAUUAUUUAAUUGAUAAAAUAUCUCAAACUCGAGUUCGUGCUCGAGCACAAAUAACUGAACUUUUGUCAAAUAUAAAAAUUAAACUUAUUUUUACAUUUUAAUUGAAUUUAAUCAAACGAAUUCGAGUAAUUCGAUUUUUAUUUUUAAUCAAGUUCAAGUGAAAAAAAAACUCGAUCGAAUUCAAACCGAAUUUCGAGCAUUUAAUUUAAAUUCGAGUUCGAACUUAAUAUUGUAUUGACUCGAACUAGAUUGAUUAUACUUUUAAUUUUUAUACUGAGAUUUUUUUUGUAAGAAAAGAAAUUUAAAUAUUUUGUUAGUUUCAUUGAGUAUUGUCACAUUAGAAAUUUGUAUGUCCAUGAUCAUAUUAAUCAGUUAAUUUUCUUAAUUAUAGUUGAAUUAACAUGUGAUAACCUUCGCUUGUAGAUUAAAAAAAAAAAAUUCACUUUCGAGAUACACGAUAAUUUUUUAAUAUUUUAAUCUUUGAUAAUACUACGGCCGAUUUCACUUGCUUUUUCUAGCAUCUUUAAGUCGUUUUAAGAUCCAAUAAAAUGAAAAUUACAGUCUGGAAUAUUCCCUACCAACAACUCGUGCUCUGAAUUUAAUCUAUUUCUGCAAAGUUGUGCUGAAUGCUGAUGCAAUCUCUGCUAAACAUCUUGAAAUUGUACUCUUAUUCUUAUAUUAUUUCCAGCAAAAAGAAGAUUAAAUCAAAGAUGCAUCUUACAUUGAAAAUUCCAAGUGCAGGAAACUGCAUUGUAACUCUGAUUGGGUAGCAAAAAAACAGUUUAAACUAUGACACAUUGUCAAAAUGUUUGAACCAGUUGGAACUACUUCAAAGACUCCAAAGUCUUUGGAUUCAUACCAUAUGUCCGAGUUAACAACAAAACAAACAUCAUCCAGCCUAGAUUUCCAAGAACCAAAACCUACUAUUAAUACUAAUAUACUAUGAGUUUUGCUAACGAUUAGUAACGUUACUAUUUAAAGUAAUAUUAUCGAAAUGCACUGAAAAAAUAUAUUACUUGAUAUAAUAACCUUAAAGAGUGCCCUUAGAACACUGCGGUUGAAAAAGUAAUGAACUUUUCAAUGCAUUUCCCUCCUUAUACUAGUUUAGAAUCUUUUGACAAAGAAAAGAUCCUUGCCGUUCCAUCUAUACAGUAAAAAAAAUUGUUUUAACUCCAUCCAAAUUUGGGCAUAAAUUAAACAACUUGGAACUACAACGUGCACAAAUUGGUUUCGAGACGAUUUGCUUUAACGGUUGGAAGAAAAAUCCGGUACUUUAACUCAAUUAAGCAGUAAAUAUAUUAGUCUUGUUCUUCUCACAUUUCAUUGUCUAGGAUAUCCCGCAUCAUUUGUAUUGGAAUGAGGCCUUCAGUGCGGAUUGCCAGCUUGUUUUGAUCAGGGCUGAUGAAGAAUAAAGUUGGCAAUCCUCUAACCUGGUACAACAGAAUUUCAAGUUCCACUCAGGUCACACACUAUACUAAACUGAAAGGAAGAUUUCCAGGCAAUUUGACGUAAGAUGCAAAACAGCUGUUUUAAAUUAGGCGAAUGGUUGCUGCCAUUACAGAAAAUGUGCACUGUGAAAAGGGGGGGAAAGGAGAAAUUAAGAAAUGAAUAUUACUUGGAAAAUUACCUGCAUAUUGUGCGCAAAUUCAUACUCAUCAUCAGCAUCGACUUUGACAAUAAUUGCAUUUUUCUCAUACUCCACUGCUAGCUGUGAUUAAAAAAAUAUAGAUAUAGAGAUUAUACUUGAGUAAAUCUCCAAACUGGAUCAAACAAAUCAGGCUGGUCCUAUUUGUUCACAAUAACCAACUACUCCAAACUUUUUCAACAUUGGUUAAUGAGUAUAAAUUUCAGUGAAUAAUGAGAUACAAAAUAUAGUUUGACGACAAAACUUUUUAUAAAUAAGCAACCAAAUAUAAAAAGUAAAGCCUGGUUUAACGCAAUCAAAUAUCUGAAUUUAAUUUGAGAAGAGAUGGAUGAAAGUGUUAAUUAAGCUCUGCAUGGUUAUUUAAGUGGGUUCAAGGACAUAACAUAGUUAAGGGCCAUCUUUUUGUCACUUUCCGGAAAGAGGCAUCUCAAAAUAUUUAGAAUAUAUAGAAGCUAUCUUUCAUAAUUGUGAUGAAAUGAGAAUUGUCAGCAAGCAUCUAACUUGUGCAUUAAAUGCAAAACUGCAGCAUUUUCCAAUGCCAUUUUUAGGACCUACUUUCCCAAAAAAUUAAGUUUAUACCAUGUUAAGGAAUGAUAGAUUCAGAAAAUGUUUGUCGAAAACUCACAAUAACAUCAUUUCUUUAGCAGAAAAUUCCGUAGUACAAAAUGUCAGAAAGUUUAUUGUACCAACGGAAAAAUGUCAGCAGGUCUCUACUCCUUUAAUUCUUCUACAGAGGCUACUCUCCUGGAGAAAAAUGGGUGCUCCAUACCAACCUGGAUCACCGGAAGAGAAAUGGAAGUCCCACAACGUACUCAUCUUAUUUUAUGAAACUACUUCAAUAACAUAUAGUGCACCUGCAUAUCUAAACCUCUUUGGUCAUGGAGUUGCUUCCCCUGCCCAUUAUUUUCCUCUUUAGUUUUCAGCUAUAGUCUAGUGCAUUGGCUUGUUUUUAUAGCUCUUAAGAUCCAUCAAAAAGAAAACUACUACACAAUCUGAAAUAUUCCUUAUUGACAACUUGUACUCUGCAUUUAAUCUAUUUCUGCAAGUUCUGCAGCCAGACCAGAUCAUGGCCGAUACAAUCUCAGCUGAACUCUUGAAAUCAUGGUUUUGUCUUCUACUAUGAAGUAGGAUUUCAACUCUUGAUGACCCUACAUCCAAAGCCAGAUCCUACAAUGAUCUUGCUUUUAAUAAUGGAGCAUGGCAAUUAGGUUAUUUUGGGAUUUUUUAUUGCAAAAAUUGUAAAAUCAGGAUCAAGAAGUUCAAUCUUUAUAAUUAUAAGCACUAGUAUGAUUGCAGUUGGGUUAUUAUGGUAAAUUUUUAUCGCAAAAUUAUAAAAUCAGGAUAAAGAAUUUCAGUCGUUUUAACUGUAAACAUUAGUACAAUUGACGAUAAGCUAAAAUAAACACCAGACCAGUACAUUAUUCCCCAGAUAAGGAAAAAUACUAUUCUUAUUCACAGAUUCUAUCUGUUUGAAACAAAUGUAAACGUCACAUAAGUUCUAGGAUAGAAAAUUCUUUUAGAAUGAUUUUAGAGGCCUAUGAUUUAAUUGUUCAUUCAUGACAGUUGAGGUCGACUUUCUGAUAUUUUACACCAACAUUCUAUAUUUUAUAAUAAGCUAUAAAAGAGUGUUGUAAAAUUAUAAUUUUGUGCGUAUUAUUAUUUUUUGUAACAUAAUCUUUUUUUAUUUAGUAUUAUAUUUUUAUAGGUAUAUUUUCCUUAAUUAUUCAAGUUAGAAUUAUCUUAUUAAUCUUAAUUAUGAUUAUUUGAUUUUUUUUCUUUUUAUUUCGGCUUUGAUUUAGUGUUCUUGAAUAUUUUACUAUGAAAAUUAAUUGAUACUUAUUUUUUCCCCAAUUUUAUAGUUGCAAGGUUUUCAUAUUAAAACAAAAAGUUAUGAUGUUAAAAAAAGAAUGUGAAUGAUGGUAAGUUUAUUUUAUCAAAAUUUUAAUUUUUUUAUAGACCUCUUUGAAUGAUUUGAUUUGAUCUAUUUAUAUAUUUUUUGAUUUUUUGAUUUAUUAUUAAUAUUUGGCACUUAUGUUUUCUAUCUCGAUAAAUUUCAUUAAUUUAAUUUCCCAAUAAAAAGGAUUAAAGUCUACUUUUCUUCAAUCAUUUAUUUGAUUAUUAAAUAUUUAUUAUAAUAUGAAGGGAAGAAAACUAAAAAUAUUCUUCAUUAUUUUUAUUAUACAUUAUAUUUUUUUUUUUUCUUUUUAUGUAAUUCAGCCAAAAAUUUAACCAUUUGAUAUAUUUGAAUUUACAUAGUUUCAACUUAAAUUUAUACAUAUAUAACAAACUUACAUUUACAGUCCUAUAAAAUCUUUGUUCUUUUUUUCUCAAACAUAUAUAAUACAUUUUGAUUCAGGCAUAUACUUCAUUGAUAAAUUUAUUUUUUGCCAAAAAUAUAUUUACAAUGUCCUAAAUAUUUAAAUUUUGAGUUUUAAUAGCAUUAAAUUUCUUUAUUGAUAUCAUUUAUGACUAAAAUAUGCAUAUUCAAAAUAAUAAAAAGGUAAAUAAUUAUUAAAAGGAAUCAUGCAUUUCCUUUAAUUGAUUAAAAAAGUAGGUGAAAUCACAUUAAAAUCUUAAAUUAAGGCAUACUUAAUCACACUUAUGGAAAAAUGUUUAAUUUGAUUUUUCUCAUUUAACUUUUUAAUUACAGGUAGUAUCCAUAUGAUAAUGAGUUACUCUUAAAUAUCAUUUGGAUAUAUGCAUGUGUAAAUUUUAUUAAGUGUUUAAUUAAGUAUUAAACAAUAUUAUUCAUUGAAUGUUUGAAUAUUUUACAAAAUAUUAUUCUCUUAGAUAUCAUUUGAAUAUAUGCAUAUGUUAUUUUUAUAUCUUUGUUAAAAAUAAUAUUUUUAUGCAUAAUUAUGUAUAUAUAAAAAUAACCCGUGCAUAGCACAGGCUACAAAUUAGUAAUAUUUAAAAUUUAAAAUUUUUUAUUAUGAUAUUUGAAUUAUAAAUUUAUUAAUUAAUGUAAUACUUAUUCCUAAUAUGAUUAAUUUUAAAUAAUGAUAUGUGAUUAUAAAUAACCCUUCAUGUGACAUAUUAAUUAAUAAAUUGAUAGUUCAGGUAUUAAAUUAGAUAUUUUUAAAAUUCAAAUACUAUAUUAAAUAUUUUACUAUAGUUUAAGGAUCAUUCAUAAUAUUAUCACAAUCUAAUAUAUAUACCAACUUAAUUAUUAUUUUAUUGAGUUAAGACUAGAUGCUUAAAAGAUUUAUUCAAAUUUGAACUCGAUUCCACUUUUUUUUCCAAUAGGAUGUCAUAGUUUGAGAAUAGAAAAAUGGAUUGCAAAUGUUAGGAUUCAAAUUUUAAACCUACAAACUAAUUGAACUAAGUUACAGAUUCAACUCAAUCCAACUUCAUUUAUCAAGAAAAUUCAUCGAUUUGAAAAAUCAACAAUUUGAACUUGACCAAACUCUAUUUGUACAAUAACAACAAUAAAUUAAGUCUUAUAUCCUAUAAUUCUAUGGUUGAUUGUAUGAAAGAAAAAAAAAAUGAAUCAUGUUAGGUUGUAGUUUUAAAUUUUCUUGCAACACUUUUAUCUAUAUAAAAAAUAUAUAUAUAUAUAUAUAUUUUCAUCUACUUUCUUAACCUUCAUAUCAUUUCUUAUUACUUCAACGUUUUUUGUGAUUUACCUCUAAAAGUUUUGGUUUUUCUCAAAUUCAAAAACUCAUUUCUCCUACUACUGCAUAAAUAAGUCUAUAUUUUAUCUAUCCAAGCCAUUUCAAAUGGCUCUUUCUCUCUCUUUUUUUUUUUUUUUUCCUUCAAUUCAAACUACCUUUAAUUUAUUUUGAAUUUCUUAUAAAAACUUUCUAAACAUUAUGAAAAUUAUAAAUCAAUUUUUAAAAAAUUUUAGUGAAAAAAUUUUGAUUAAAAUAUAAAAAAGUCUCUUAACUAUUUCACUUUUCUUAAAAAAAGCCAAUAUAUUUUUAUUAUACCAAAAUAAGCCUUUAUUUUUUUUUAUUUGUAUCCAAAUAAACCUUUAUUUCAAAUAACAAAUUUAUUUAUCUUAAGGAUUUAUUUAGGUACAAAUUAAAAAUUAGAGACUUAUUUGAAUAUAAAUAAAAGGUUAAAUACUUAUUUAAGUAAAAAUUAAAGUCUAAGGAUUAAUUUGAAUUUAACAAAAUUAUAAGGAUUUAUCUAAAUAAAAUGAUAAAAUUUUAAAAAACUUUAUUAUUUUAACCAAAAUUUUCUAAAAACAUGUCAAAAUAAUGCCCCACGCACCCCCACUUGCGCAAUAGAAAAAAAAUUAUCAAAUAAACUUUCUUAAUUUUUAGUUUAGUCCUUAAAACUUUAAAUCUUUAGCCAAACAUUAAAAAAAUUCAAAUGAUAUAUGCAUGGAAAAUGUAUGAGACAUAUUCUAACCAUAUAAAUUUCAUACAUGAAAUUUGAAACAUGUGAGAAAAAUAUAUAGUCAAAGUUUUGAUUUUUCUAGUUUGAUUAUGAUUUUUCUCUUAAAUCAUAAGUGCUUUUAGUACCAAAUUUUUAUAAAAAAUUCAAAUCAUCUUAGGGCACAUAUUUAUGUAAAAAUUUUAGUCUAAAGCAUUUGUUUAAAAUUUUAUUAUUAAAAAUUAUUCUAAGUUUUUAAAAAUAUUCUAGUAUACCAAACAACUAUAGAAGCAAAUCUAAAAGUGAAAACAAGCAUAACAAUGUUUUGAUUCCACUAUUGGAACUUAUUGAAAAAUAUAUGUAAGAAUAUUUGUAAAUUUAAGAUUAUUUACUCCAAUGCUAAUAUGAAUUCCCAAUAUCAAUUUACUUACAUUUGCUUCAUGAAUCUUUAAAGAUUUAUUUUUUAAAUUACUUUUUAAACAACUUCUUGGAUCUUGUUAGUCAAUGAAACAAUUUUUAGAGCUUAUCACAAAUUUUAUACUAAGUUUUAGGGUCUGAGGUAGAUAACCAAAAAUUUAGUAAGAGAGAGUUGAGGAGCAAGAUCUUUAUACUAAACUAAUUAAAAUUAUUAUUCCUUCCAUUUCAAAUUGUUUGGAUUGUAUUGAUUUUCAUGGAGUUUAAAAAAAAAUUUUUAAUUUUAAUAUAUUUAAUAUUAAAAUUAAAUUGUUUUAUAAAAUUAAAGUUUCAUGAUUUUUAAUUUCAAAAAGUAAAAAAAUUAUAAAAUAUAAUUUUAAAUAUAAAAAAGAAUUUUAGAUGUUAAAAAAAAUAAAAUUUUGGCAUAUCGAAAUUUUUUUAAAAAAAAAAUAAGACAAAAGGAGCUCUUCUUUUUGUUAAUUUCUGUAAAUACGUGUGUCCAUUAAUAUAGCACAUAUUCCAAUUAUUGGCAAUAGAUUUUUAAUAACAUUUAUGCAAAAUUAUAUUAAGAAAAAAAAUCUAAACUAACCCAUAUUAUAAAUUAGAUAAUGUCUACUAACAAAUUUGAAUCCAUUUGGUCCACCUAUAUUUGGAAUCAUCAUCGAACCUUGGACUCUUCCAAUUUCCAACUUUAGUCAAAUAAAAAAAAUAAAAAAGUCCACUUUCCAAUGUUUGAUAUAAAGGCGUGGAAAGAUGGACCUAAAACGACCAACACAAUCAAUUCUAUGAUAUUAGUGAGCAGUUUCAUGGUAGGGAAUUCUUUUUCAACUUCUAUACCAUAUCAAUUAAAUCAAAUCAACCAAAACAAAUUUGAGUAAAAUUUAGAGCCUAGGUAAAAAAAUAGUCUUCUAGUUAAAAUUCAAUUAAUCUAGAUAAUAAAUGAUUUUGGAUCCGUGGUUCUUCAUUGAUGUUAUUUUCGAUUGCAUGAUUUUAUAGGACAAGACACAUUUUGUUCUAAUUAAAUCAUGAUUUUAGUGAAUCUCUUUAUAUUAAAUUACAUAUAAAUUAAAAUUUAAUUUAUUUAUUUAUAAUUUAAUAAAUUUAGAAUUCCAAUUUUAAUAUGUGAAAUCUCUAAUUAUUAUUUUUUUAUAUUACAAUCUUCUCUCAACAAAAAGAAAAUUUUAUAUUACAAAAAAAUAACAAAUUAAACGUUAACAAAUGAUUAGCUCAAUGGUAAAAGUUUGUGUCCAAUAAUAAUAGUUUUAAGCUCUAUUUAAAUGGAUAAUAAAAUUAGUUACAAUGAGAUUAAAAAUAAUAAUAAAAUUUAUUAUAAUUUCGAUUAAAAAAAAUUAUUGUAAUUAUGAUUAAAAAAUUAAUAAAAAAUUUAUACUGACUUAAUUUUAUUAAAAUUGAUAUUUAAAUUUAAUUAAAAAUGUAAUAAAUUUAAUUGUACCACGUUGAAAGUACUAUAGGAUCUAAACGACUACUUAGCUAAUUCUCUUGAUAUAAAGGGUUGAAAAAAAUGCAACUACUAGGAUUACAAUUCAAAUUUUAAAUUAAUUUCUUUAAAGAAAUGUGUAAACAUUCGAAUUAAUCUUCAAAAUUAUCUUUUAUUAGUUUAAUCUCAAAAUGUUCGCCGUCUAAUGCCUCAUGAUACAUCAUAUUAUGAAUUAAGAAUCAAACAAUUUAUUUUUUUAAAAAAAUCGAAUAUCUUAUUAAGAAUUUUUUCUUUAAAAAAACCUAAAAAGGAAAAGUGAUAGGCGCGUGGGACAGUGAGGUCGACCCACAUCCGAUGCAUCUAGUGGCUUGGUACCAAUUGCAAAAUAAAAAUCAACAAAAACAAAGUCAUCGCAAUCAAAAUAAAUCUCACCCAUUAUUAUGUGUGUGUAUGUGCCGGCGUUGAAAGUCUUCAAUUCUUCACACUCCUUCAUCCAUUGAACUAAGACGCUUGUAUGAACGACUUUGCUGUCGCUCCAAGAGAAACCUGUGUCCCCUUCCCACCAGCAUCCUGGAUUUUGGCAGCAUCUUUGAAUCUCUUUCAUUACUAUUUAUUUUAAUUUUUUUCUCACAUCUUAUCAUAUCUUCUUCAUUUAUUUUGUGGGUGACAAUAAGACGUAUGUCUUUUUUUUUUUUUUCAACAUCAAAAGUUUAAUGGAUUUGGUUUUGUUUGUUUGCACAAAUAAAAGAGGGGUUUUGUUUUGGCAAUUAAAAUAUUGCUACUUGUAGUUUUCGGGAUUAAGUUAAAUGUUCUAAACUCAAUGUCAUAGUGUCUUAUAUGUAUUAGAUAUGUAGUAGUAGUUAUAUACCAACGUAGUUGUUAUUUUACUGAGUUAGAGUAAAGCUAGUACUAUGACUUACAUGAAUCCAAAUAAUUUAUUCGAAUUUAAUUCAAUAUAAUUGUAUUUUAUCAAGAAAUUUUAAUUUAAAUAUAAAUAAUGAUAAGUGAUAGAUAAAUAACCUUUUAAAUAUCACAGUAAUUAACAUAUUUAUAAUUUCAGUAUUACAUUAAGAAUUUUUAAAAUUUAAAUAUCACAUUAAAUUUUUUAUUAUAAUUUAAGGAUCAUUCAAGAUAUCAACUCAAUUCUUAAUCAAUUGAAUUUUUGUAUUUCUCUAGAAGAAGAAUGCAUGGCUCUUAUUUGGCAAAUGAGUUUAAAAUUACAUUUAAUAAAGUUAGGAAAAAAGAAAGACUAAAGUAUAAAGUUAGGGUAAAUAGCAUCUGUAAUAUUUAAAUAUUGAGUUAAAUUUUAUUUUGAUUCUUAUUUUUUAAAAAAAUUUAAUUAGAUCUCAAUUGCAUAGAAGUAUCAUAUUUUGGCCCUUCCACCUAUGAAACCAUCUAAAAUAAUAAUAAAUGUCAGCUAACAUCAUGUGGAUGAUACCAUUGACAUUUCAUGUGGUAGAUGGAUUGAUAGAGAGGUCAAAAUAGAAUUUCGUUUAAAGUUUAAGAACAAAAAAUGUGACUAUCCCAAAUUUUUUAUAUUUCAAAUAUAUUUUAUAAAAUAUUAAAUUUAAAAUAAUAUUUUUAUGUAUUUUUAAUUAUAAUAUUUUUUAUUCAUUAAAUAUAUUUUUUUGUAAUAAAUUUUCAAAAUUCUUUUGAAAAAAUUACAUAGCAUUUUAAAAAAUUAAGUAAAAAAUUAUAUUUGUUUAAAAAAUUAAAUAAAUAACUUCGUAUCUUUAAAAUAUUAAGUAAAAAAUUUCAAAUCAUUUAAUAUUAUUUAUUUAAAUUUUAUUUUGUAGAAAAUUAAAAAAAAUCAAAAUGGUCCUUAAUGCCUCUAGUCUGGUAUGGAGAAGAAAUCAAAGUAUCGAAAAUAUUUUUUAAUUUUUUAUAGUAUAAAAUUUAUAAUAAAAUAUUUCAAAAUAGGUUUUUUUGGAUAGAAAAUAAAUUUUUGAAUAGAUUAAAAAAUCUUUUUUUAAAUGAUAUGAAAAUUUUUACUUAAUAUUUUAAAAUGAUAUGAAGUUUUUUAUUUGAUUUUUUAAACCAAUAUGAAAUUUUUAUUUAAUUUUUAAAAUGAUAUAGAAUUUUUUUAAAGGGGUUUUCAAAUUUUUAACUAAAUUUUAAUUUUUAAAAUAUUUUUAUUAAAAACAGUAUUUCACUAAUAAUUAAUAUCAUAAUAAAAAAUUAUUUUAAAUUAUAAUAUUUUAUAAAAUAUAUAUGAAAUGUAAAAAAUUCAAUUUAUUUAUUUAUUUUUCUUUAUUUUUCCUUUUUUUCUUCUUUAUAAAAUAUAUUUUGUAAAAUAUAUUAGAAAAAGGAAAAGAAAAUUAUAUCUAAUAUUUUUAAUAGAAAAUAAAUUUUUUGGAUAAAAAUAAUAUUUUUAUUAUGAUUUAUUAGUAAAAUAAUAUUUUUAAUAUAAAAUAGUCUUUUAUUUUCAAAUUGUUAUGGAAUUUUUUCAAAAAGAUUUUAAAAAUUUUAACUUAAUUUUAAUUUUUGAAUAUCUAUUUUUAUCAAAAACAAAAACUAUUUAACUAAUAAAUUACAUUGCAAUAAAAAUAUAAAAUUAUUAUUUUAUAUUUUAUAAAAAUAUAUUUUAAAUAAAAAAAAAUUUGAGCUCUAAACUUUGAGUAAAUUUCUAUUUUGAUCCUUUCAUCUCCUGGCAAGAUGCCAACAAACAGCAUCCACAUGGCGUUAACCGGUAUUUAACGUCAAUUUAAACGAUUUUAUAAAUAAAUAAAAAAAGCAUAUUAGGAUAACUUUAAAUAUUGAUUUCUACCUAGUUAAAGCGAAUGAAAGUUUGUCCAAUUCAAAUUGUCAAUAUCUUUAAGAGAAAUUAUUUUAUAUUAUUCAAAAAAUUUUUAGAUUUUACAAACGACAUUAACAGAUUAACACAUACUUUUGAAUCUGUCAAUAUCUUUAAUAAAUGAUUUUUGAUCCGUAGUUCUUCAUUGAUAUUUUUUAUAAAAACACAUCUUAUCUUAGUUUAAUAAUAAUUUUAGCAAAUCUUUUUAUUUUAAAUUAAAACUUAAUUUAAUUUAUUCAUGUUUUAAUAAAUUUAAAUUUUAACAUUUAUAAUUUUUAAUUUUCAAAUUGCAAUUUCCUCUCAACUAAAAGUUAUAUUAUAAAGAAAUAAAAAAUUAAACAUUAACAAAUGAUUGGUUCAACAACUAAAGUUUGUGUCAAACAAUCGUAAGGGGGACAAAGCUUACAUAUUGAUAGAGAAAACAUGCAAGUAUUAAGAUUACACUCGAAUCUUAUAAAAAUUUAUUUUUUAUAAGAGAUAUGUAAAUGUUUAGAUUAAUUUUUAAAUUUAUUUUUUUUACUAGUUUUAUCUCAAAAUGUUUGCCAUCUAAUGCAUCAUGAUAAAUCUUAUUAUGAAUCAAGAAUCAAAUAAUUUAUCUAUCUCAAAUUUUUAUUAUUAAGUUUUAUUUUUAAAAAAUCGAAUAUCUUAUUAUUAAUUUUUUUCUUUCUAAGAAAGUGAUAGGCGCGUGGGAUAGUGAGGCCUGCUCACAUUCGAUGCAUCUACUGGGAUGAUACCAACUUGAAAAUAUAAAUCAACUCAACAAAAGCAAAGGCAUUACAAUCAAAAUGAAUCUCACCCAUAAUUAUGUGUGAGAAAGACGCGCCGGCGUUGAAAGUCUUCAAUUCUUCGCACUCCUCCAUCCAUUGAACUAAGACACUUUUAUGACUUUGCUGUCGUCUCAAAGAGAAGCCUUUGCCCCCUUCCCCGUCAGCAUCCUUGGAGCAUUUUUGAAUCUCUUUCAUUACUAUAUAUUCUAUUUUUUUCUCACAUCUUAUCAUAUCUUUUAUUAUCAUAUCUUAAGUCAGGUAGAGACUUAAGCCUAACAUCCGUGUAAUUUUAGGUUAAAAAUUAUCGUCCAUGUAUCUAAAUCAAUCUCUUUUUCCACUUUGUAUCGAACGUUUAUGUCGUGCAUUUUAUUAGCUCUUCAAAAACUUGGGAGAAAGUUAAUAAGUAGACAUGUGCAUGUGGAUGAGAAUUAGAUGUAUGUUUUUUUCUUUAAACAUAAAAAUAUUAAUGGAUUUGGCUUUAUUGUUUGCAUAAAUAAAAUGGAGGUUUUGUUUGGGCAAUUAAAAUAUUGCUACUUGUAGGAUCAAAAACAUAUAUUGCUACUUGUAGUUUUUGGGAUUAAGUUAAAUAUUCUAAACUUAAUGUAAUUGUGUUAUAUAUAUAUAUUAGAUAUGUAGUUGUAGUUAUAUACCAAAUUAAUUGUUGUUUUAUUGAGUUAGGAGUAAAGUUAGUAUAACUUACAUGGAUCCGAGCAAUUUCUUCUAAUUCAAACUCAAUCCAACUUUACUUCACAAGAAAAAUUAGUUUUAAUUUAAAUUAAUUUAAAAAAUUAAGUCAUAAUUCAAACUUAAAUUGAUUUAUUUUAAAAUUUAAUAAUUUAAACUCAAAAUAAUCCGAAUUUGAUAAUCCAGACUUGAAUAUUUUAACGUUAAAUUCAAAUAAUCUAACUCAAAAUGAUUUGAAAUUGAAAUAAUUUAAAUCCAAAUCGAUAUAAUUUUUUUUUCUCUAAAAUGAUUUGAUCCAAAAUAAUUAGACUUUUGCUACCCUCUUAAGGACUUGGGAUUAGUUAUUGAGUAUCAAAUAAAAUAAUGUAAUUGAUCUAACGUAAAACAUGACAUUGCAAGAAAACACUCUUAACAAUUAAAAUUUGAGAGGUUUCGUAUUCGGAUUUAUAUGAUGAAUAUUAGGAUUUAUCAAAUGAGGGAGAUCCAAAAUCUUUAUAUAUACACUGUACCAAAAAAGUCAUUAUGUAUAAAAAAAUUUAUAUGCUUAAUUUAUAGUAUUAAUUAUGGUCUUAAAACAUACUUAAUUGAUUGAUUUCAUCCAUAGAAAAAUUCAUAUUAAGAAUUUAGACUAAAAAAGGACUAAAUAAGGAAUGUGACAAUUCUUUAAUUUAAAAAAAAAUGGAGUGAUUACUUAUUUUAACUAGUUUUGGGACUUUUAGGUGAUAUAGUGAGAUGAAUUUUUAUUACAAUGUAAUUACAUUUUAUAAUUGAACUUUUAAAGAUUCAAUGAAUAAAACGAUAUACAUGGCACGAUGAGAGUUCUCUCAUUUCAUUGGAUGAAUUUUUAAGGGUUAAUGUUAUAAAUAACCUUUAAAAUAUAGUUAGUUAUUCAAUGUGAUACUUGAAUUUUAAAAAUGUUUAAUAUGUUACUUAAAUUAUAAAUCUAUUAACAAAUGUGAUAUUCACUUUUAAUGUGACUAAAUUCAAAUAAUAAUAUGUGGUGGACUAAUAAUUUUUUAAUUGCCAUAUUAAUUGACAUAUUCAUAAAUCAAAUACUAUAUUAAAAAUUUUUAAAACUUAAGUAUCAUAUUGACUAUUUUGUUAUAAUUUAAGGACAUGACAUUAACCAAAUUUUUAAUCAAUUGAAUUUUUGUAUUUCUCUAGAAGAAGAAUGCGUAGCUUCGAUGUAGCAAAUGAAUUUACAAAUUACAUUUACUAAAGUUAGGAAAAAUAAAAAGACUAAAGUAUAGAAUUAGGGCAAAUAAUACUUGUAGUCUGUAAACUUUAAGUCAAAUUUUACUUUUGUCUUUAAUUUUUAAAAAAGAUCUAAUUGGAAACUCAAUUGCCUAAAAUUAACAUAUUUUAGUUUUUUUACCUGUAAAACUGUUUAAAUUAACAGUAAAUGUUAGCUGAUACCACGGUAUGGCACAAUUGACAUCUCACAUGACAAAUGAAUUGAUAAAAUGAUCAAAAUAGAAUUUCUCAGAAAGAUUAGAGACCAAAGAUGCUACUAUCUCAAAAUUUUUUUAUAUUUUAGACAUAUUUUAUAAAAUAUUAAUUUAAAAUAGUAUUUUUAAAUUUUUUAAUAUUUUAUUCAUUAAAUGGAUUUUGUUUUUAAUAGAUUUUCAAAAAUUAAAAUCAAGUUAAAAUUUUCAAAUUCUUUUGAAAAAAAUUACAUAUCAUUUUAAAAAAUUAAGUAAAAAAAUUUUAUUUUCAUAUCUUUUUAAAAUAUUAAGUAAAACUUUUUAAAAUUAUUUUAUUUUCAUUGUUAAAAUUUUAUAUUUAUAGAAAAUUAAAAAAAAAAAGGCAAUCAAAACAGUCCUUAUUGCCUCGAUCUGGUAAGGAAAAGAAAUCAAAGUAUUGAAAAUAAUAUAUAUAUUAUAAAUAUAACUAAACUUUAAUUUUUAAAAUAUUUUUCUAUUAAAAAUAAUAUUUUACUAAUAAUUAUUAUCAUAAUAAUAAUAAAAUUUAUUUUAAAUGAUAACAUUACAUAAAAAGUCAAUUUUUUCUUUAAUUUUUUCUUUUUUCUUCUUUAUAAAUUAUAUUUUAUAAAAAAUAUUAGAAAAAGGAAAAGAAAAAUAUAGUUAAUAUUUUUAAUAGAAAUUAAAUUUUUUGGGUGGAAAAUAAUUUUUUAUUAUGAUUUAUUAGUAAAAUAAAAUUUUAAAUAUAAAAUAGUCUUCUAUUUUUAAAUUGAUAUAGAAUUUUUUUUCACUCAGAUUUUAAAAUUUUUAACUUAAUUUUAAUUUUUGAAUAUCUAUUUUUUUGUCAAAAACAGAAAAUUUUAAUUAAUAAAUUAUGUUACAAGAAAAAAUAAAAAAUAAAAAAUAAAUAUUUUAAAUUUAAUAUUUUAGAAAAUUAUAUUUGAAAUAAAAAAAUUGAGAUAGCAACUUCCUUAUUCUCUAAAUUUUAUGCAAAAUUCUAUUUUGAUCCCUCCAUCUACUACAUAAAAUGCUAAUCCACACUAUCCACAUGGUAUGUGUUAAUAUUUAAUGUCAAUUUAGGCGAGCUCAUGAAUGGAAGAAUCAAAUUAGAAUAAUUUUGAGUAAUUAAAGAUUUAGUUAAUUUUUUUUAAUUUAGGAUCAAAAUAUAAUUUAACUCAUAAUUUAAGAACCAUGGGAGUUAUUAAUUCUAUAGAAUUAAUCAAAUAGUUGAAAAUUUUUUACAUGGUGGCUAGGUUUAAAUGUUCAAAGUCCCCAUAAAAAAACAAAAAGUCGUGUUGUAAUGUUUAAUUGACUAGGGAAAUGCAUGGCAGCUAUUAUUUCCAAACAACUCAACAAUACCAAAUUGUUGGUUUAAAUACUUUGAACAUGGAUUUCCACCUAGUUAAAGUGAACGAACCAAGUUUGUCAAAUUCAAUUUGUCAAUAUCUUAAUUUCAUAUUGACAGUGAAAUUUUUAAAUUUUAUAAAUUAGAUUAAUAAAUUGACACGUAUUUUUUUGGAGUAUUGAAAACAUAAAGAAUGAAUUAAAAAAUAAAAUAUGUAUCGAUUGUUUAAUUUUGUUUGUUAAGUUAAAAAAUUUUAUUAAAAAUGUAUGGAAAAAGAACUUUUAUCUUUAAUGUGUAAGAAAAAUAAAAUUGGGCAAAAAAUAUUGGGAAUUUCCACAACUUCAUUGUGUUAUUGCCUUCUUGGCAAUUGUCAUGAAGUUUCGUCCUUGGCUUUGCAAAGUAAAUAAUGGACGGAAAUCAGUUGUCAUUUUUUUUUUCUUGUCAUAAACGUGAGAAAAAAAAAUUGUUUAUAUUUGUGCUAUUACUUUUGCUUUAUAGGCCCAUCACUUUUCCUUUUUCAACUAAAUUUUAGUCCAAUCUUUCUAUUUAGUGUCAUUAACAAAAUAAAGCUUACGUCCAAAUACACUUAACAAACUUGUAUUUCAAUUUUUAAUUUCAACGAAACCCAGUAAAAAUGUUGACAAUAGUUAAUUAAUAAUUAUUUAAUAAUUAAAAAAUAUUAUGUCUUGAAUUAAUUUAUAUAAUAUUUAAAAAUGUACCCAAAAAGAUUCAGCUAAAUAUGUUGAGAUCUGUCGCCUUGAUUCUGUCUGAUACGAAACAAGACUCAAUACAGAUUUCUUGAUUAGAAAAAAAAAAAAAAAAAAACCAAACGACUCCUUCACAUCAAACCCCUAAAUCAACGGCUGAGAUUAUCCGCAGCCAUCAUUUAACUAUAUAUAUAUAUAUAUAUAUGAACUAAUACGUCCACCACUUCUACCUAAAAAUUUCUCCGACUCUCUAACCGUUUUCAUUCUUUCAUUAUUCUCUCAAAACCUCAAAUCCCAAGUCCUUUCAUCUUCUUUCAAGAAAAUGUGAUUACUAUUGUUUUGUUAUUUGAACAGCUAAUCUGAAUAAUUGGUUCAGUUUGUAGAAGAGCUUCGAUACUCAAUUUUUAUUAAAAGAAUAUUUGAUUUAUCGCCUUUUGGCGAGAAAUGACAGAGUUUUGACGAUUACAAGAUUGGAGGAGAGCAACUGGACGAUGGCAAAGUCUUUUGGGUCAUUUGGACUAGGGGGAUUACUACUGCUGGCGGCGUUGGCUGCGUCUAUGAUGGUUCUUCCGCUGAUGUUGCCGCCGCUACCGCCUCCGCCAUUGAUGCUUCUGUUGCUUCCAGUUGGGAUCAUGGCUGCUCUCAUGUUCUUGGCGUUUUCCCCCACGGAGGCUGCUGGAAAUGUCGUCGUUCUUGUUCAUACAGUAUAAGAACACAUGUUAAACGUGUCUUCCAUAGGAAGAUGGUCGGCCAUUGAUGGGCGGCUCUGCUGAGGUCGUAGACGUACGUUGUUGAUUUUAUUUGAAGAGUACACCGUCCUUUCCAUGUUUGAUAACAUGGGUGCACCUCCAGAAUUCCUUCAAUCUGUAAUAUCUUAUCUUUUGCGUGGGAAGUUGAUAGAGAUCCUAUUAAUCUUGGACGUAAAAUAAAGAAGUUGGUCGUGGAACUAGUAAUAGUUCAAGCAGCUGAUGAUGAGAUUGAUGACGUGAUUGAUGAGUCAUCAACUACGUUGAAUUUCAAGCCUGCUAGUAAAUCUUCUAUUCAAGCUUUGAAAAGGGUGAAAUUUGGCAACGAUGAAGAUAGUCUUUUAUCCUUGAAGAAGAGGAGAAGACGUGAGGAUAUGAAUUCCAAGAAACAAUGUACUAUUUGUUUGGAUGAUUUCAUCGACGGUGAGGAGAUUGCUUCGAUGCCUUGUGGACAUGUUUACCAUGAUGGUUUCACUUUUAGAUGGUUUGAAACGAAUCACUUGUGCCCAUUAUACCGAUAUGAGAUGCCAAGUUGAUCUAAUUUAUAUCUUUUCCAAGUGGUGAAAAUAACUUAUUUUAUUUUGUUAUUGAAUGUGCGUUUGAGAAAAGGAAAUUGUUUUGGUGCUUUUGGGAAAAAGGUUGAGAUUGAACUCGUAUAAUUUGCUAACAUAGUGGAUAUUAUUCGAAUUUGUCCUAUGAUUUUUUCCUCAACGUGGGAGGAUUUUUCAUGUAAAUAUUUUUGUUUUUAUACUAAUGCUUGCAAUUUCUGUUUAAUUGAUUGAUUUGAAUAAAUUUUAUUAUGAAUUAUUAUUGGUUUGUGUUGUAGUGUCUAUAAUUCGUUUAUGAAAGUUUAAUACCUGAGGUUUAAUAAUUUUUGCUCAUUGGAAGAUACUAUUAAAUCUUAAUUUCUUUUCAUGAUCACAUUAAAGAGGAUCAAAAAACUUUAUUUGCUCCUUAAAGGGUUUGUUCAUAUACAUUGAUCCCUCAUAUCAUUUUUUUUUUCUUUGGUUCCUUCAGAAAGUUUUGUUUCCAAUUAACUAAAAAGCACAUCACCAAAACCAAAAAGAAACAAUUCAACCAAUGCAAAUUUUAUAUCUAGAAAAGGGCCAAACAGUGCUCAUUAAUGUGCUCUUAAAUUUUGGAAAUUACUGUUAGAAGCACUCUUUUUCCAAUUUUGAUUUUGUUUGCCAUAUUUUUAUGAAGCAAAAGGUUAAAAUAAAGAUGGGUCCUGUAUUAGUUAUUAUGGAAAUAUCUGUGGGCUGGACUAUAAUUUUGAGUCAUUACUGGCAUAAUUCAUUAUUCUAUUUUAUUGAACUAAAAUAAAAUAAACUUUUUAUAUAUAAUUUUUUUCCCAAUUUGUCUUUCCUUUGUCAUUCUUUUUUCAAGACAAAGGUUAAGAAUUUGAUAUUUCAACUUUUUUAAUGUUAUUUUAAAGAUUAUUGUCAAAGUGAUCCUAUGUUAAAAAUCAAAAUUGAGGCAAAUAGAUUAUCAAGUUAUUUUUGUAUGUCAUGAUGUGCAAUACAAAAUCUAAAACAGCUCAAACCUAUCUUUUAUAUAAGAAUUUAUUUUACAUAUAAUCUCAAUAAAAUCACCCUUGAUUUUGUUGAGUGAGGCAUUAAUUUUAACACAUUGCUUGUAUGAUUUCUCAAUUUUAUUUCCCUAUUUUAUUAUUUUUCACAAUUAAUUAUUUUCUUAAUUAUAUAAUUUAAUUAUAUCUUUAUUAAUGCCUAUAAAUACAUUACAUUAUGCUUAUAAACUCAUUUAAAAAUAAUAUAUAUAAGAUUUUAUGUAUUUUACCAAUGAAUCACAAUUUAUCAUUGUAUUAAUCACAACGGCAAAAAAAAAUUUAUACGAUGACAAGUUAUGAUUAUUGUUUAUAUUAUUGAUUAUAUAUUAACAGUGUAUUAAAUAUAAAUUUUAAAAUUAAAAUUAAUAAAUAUAAAUUACUUCAAAUUUUAUGAAUUAAAGAUAAUUUAUUUUUUAUAAAAAAAAUCAUAAUUUGAAAGUAAAAUCAAGAAUUGCAAAUACUAAUAUUAAAAUUCAAACCUUUUGAAUGUUAAUUUUUUAAGAUUUAAUUUCAACUUUCACAAGAAACAUGUAAUACACUUGAAACAUGGAUACAUGUGAAUCUUGCACAAACCAAUUAAAGGCUAGACAGGCACAUGUCACCAAUGUCUUGGUCUCUCCCAACUUUAGUCAAAUAAAAUGUCCAUGUUCCAAUGUUUAAUUAAAACACAUGGGAAGUUUAACCUAAAAUGUCAAACGCAAUCAACUCUUUUGUUGUGGAAGGGAUCCUCUUUGAACUUCUAAACCAAAUCAAAAUAAAUUAAAUCGACCAUAAUAAUUUGUUGGCAUUAGAGAUUAGACAUCAAUAUGGGUAAGCCCCAAGUUAAAAUUCAUUUAAUCUAUAAAAUAAAUGAUUUUGGAUGCAGAUUAUUAUUUUUUAUUUGAAAUUGUCAACAUUUUAAUCUUAAUAAUUAAAAUUAAAAACCCAACAUCCUAUAAUAAAAUACAUAAUUAUUUGUUAUAAUAAUACAUUAAUUAUAAAUUUUUUUCUUAAAUAUCACAUUAAUAAGUGUUAAAAAAAAUUAAAUAACAUAUUUAUGUUGAAUUUUAUAUAAAAAAUUACAGACACUAACAAAUGGGUGGCUUGAUAUUUAAAGUUAGCCUAGUUUCAAAACCAACUAAUGUUAAAUUUUUUAAUUUAAUCUCAAAUUAUUUUUUUGGUAUGAGACUUUUUGGUAUUUAGUAGUUAUUUUAAAUCUCAAUUAAUUCAGAAUUAAAUUGAAUCAAAUCCCAUAAAGGGAUAAACUCUCUCAAACUUUUUUUUUAUUUAUAAAAUUCAAAAUUAAAAUUUUAUUUAAAAAAAUUAAGUUAUGUACCACUUGGAUUAACAAGCGCGGUUAUUUAAUCUCAAAUUAAUGAUUUCUUAUGAAGAAUAUAAUAAAACAUUUAAUCUUAAUUGAAAACCGACCCAUUUAUUGAUCUUGAAUUUUUGUAUUAUAAGUUUUUUAAAAUUAUGUAAAUUUUUAUUAUAAAAUUAAAAAAAAAAAAAGAAGUGAAAGGCGCGUUACUAUUGAGGUCGGUUCACAUUCGACCCAUCAUUAUCUCUGUGUGUGUCAGACGCGCCUCGGUUGAAAGUCUUCACACUCCAUCCAUUGAACUAAGACAGUUCUACGACGUUGCUGUCGUCUUCCUCAGCGUUCUUCGAUUUUGGGAACGUCGUCUUCCAAUCUCUUUUUAUUUUAAAAUUUUCACACCUCAUCGUAUCUUCUUCUUGUUUUUGUAAGCAGGUGGGUUGAAAAUGGGAUAUAUGUUUUUUUUUUUUUUUAAAUUAAUGAUUUGGUUUUAUUUGUUUGGCUAGAUAUGAUGGGAUUUUGUUUGGGUAAUUACAAUAUUGCCACUUGUGGUUUUUGUAUUAAGUUAAAUAUUUUAAACUUAAGUCAUUGAGUUUUAUAUAAUUUAGUUGAUUUAACGAUAGGAAUGGUGUUUGAAUUAUAAUAAAAAUUUUAUACUUUAUGUAAAUAUAUAAAAGUUAAGUUUUUGAUAUAAAAGGAAAUAAUUUAUUUAAUAUAAAAAGAAAUAAUCUAUGUGGAUAGGUUAUAUUUUUUAUACGUAAAAUGUUACAAGUAAAUGUCAUGUGUUAUAUAAUUAAUGAAUUUAAUUAUAUAAUUAAUUUUAAAAUAAUUUAUUAUGGCUGAAUUAAUUACUUUUAAAUAUUAAUAUUCUUGCAUCCAAUAAAUUAGUUAUAAUUAAUUUGAUCAUUAAUUCAAAAAAUCAAAAUUUAAAUAAAAAACUAAGUAAUCAAGAAUAAUUUUACUUAUUUACUAAUCAUUAUUUAUAAUUAUAUAAACAUUUUAAUUUAUUAGAAUAAUCUAGUAUACACACACACACACACACGUACACACACAUAUACACACACAAAAAAAAACUUCCAUAUAUUAACUUGAAAAAGAAAAGUCUGUAAGAUAAUUUUUUUUACAUGAAUACUAUCAAACAAUGUCAUGUGUUUUGAUUAUAAUCAACGAUUCAAUUUUUAAAAUUAAAAUUACAAAUUAAUUUAAUUUGUAAUAUUUUUCAAUUAUCAUCCAAAAAAUAUUUUUAACUUUUCAAUAGCUUUAAUUUUAGUUUCUUUUUUUUAACUUUAAAUAUGAAUUUUUUUUCCUAUUGUUUUUAUAGUAAAAGUCUUAUUGGCCAAUCAAUAGCUUUCAUUUUGUUUUGAAUUCUCUAAAAUUUUUUAUACUUAUAUUACCUUAAUUUUGGGUGUUUGAUUACAAAAAUAAAAAGAAUUAACAGGUCAAAUUAUGUAUUUAAAAUUUAAACUCUAUAAUAAUAUGUAAUUAAAGGAGUCAAAAUUUUUUUAUAAUAAUAUGUAAUUGAUUGAUAACUCAAUCAGUGAAAUUCACAUUUUGUGAAUGUAUAUGUUGUCUAUAUAUAUAACGGUGAUAUAAUGAAUUUGACACAUUCAACAACCAGUGUAAAAAAAUUUUCACUUGUACUCUUUAAGUUUUUUUCUUUUAAUACAUUAUUUAAAUAAUUGUAUAAUUUUUUGAUAGAUUUGAUAAUUCAUAUAUUCAUAUCGUGUAAAAUACUAAAAAUUUAUAUAUUCAUUCUAUGUUUUACACAAAAAUUAUAUGUUACAAUUCGUGUCAACACAAAAAUAUGAAAUAAUUUUUUUUUUGUUUUGUUAAACCUAUUCAUAGUUUUUGCAAAAAUUUUAAACAGUAUUAUUUUUGUGUUUUUUAUCCAUAUUAUUUUCGUAUCUUGUCAUCGUAUUAUAUUUGAAAUUGUUAGGUCUACUUUCUGAUAUUUUACACCAAUAUUCUAUAUUUUAUAAUAAGCUAUAAAAGGGUGUUGUAAGAUUAUAACUUUGUGAAUAUUAUUAUUUUUUGUAACAUACUUUUUUUGAUUUAGUAUUAUAUUUUUAUAAGUAUAUUCCUUAUUUAUUCAAGUUAAAAUUAUUAGAUUAAUCUUAAUUAUAGUUAUUUGAUUUUUGUUUAUUUCAGCUUUGAUUUAGUGUUCUUGAAUAUUUUACUAUGAAAAUUAAUUGAUAAUUAUUUUUUUUCCAAUUUUAUAGUUGCAAGGUUUUCAUAUUAAAACAAAAAGUUAUAAUGUUAAAAAAAGAAUGUGAAUGAUUGUAAAUUUUUUUUAUCAAAACUUUAUUUUUUUUUUUAUAGACCUCUUUGAAUGAUUUGAUUUGAUCUAUUUAUAUAUUUUUUGAUUUUUUGAUUUAUUAUUAAUAUUUGGCACUUAUGUGUUUCUAUCUCUAUAAUGAAUUCAUAAUUUAAUUUUCCAAUAAAAAAUGAUUAAAAGUCUACUUUUUUUAUUUUUAUUUGAUUAUUAAAUAUUUCAUUUGUAAUAAAUAGGGAGAGAAACUAUUCUUCACUUAUUUUAAUUUACAGUUUUAUUCUUUAUUUUUUCUUUUGAAUGUGAUUCAACACAAAGUUUAGCCAAUUUAAUAUUAUUUGAACUUACACUAGGUUUUCAAGUUAAAGUUUAUACAUAGAUAAUAACCUUUGAUUCUUUCUUUUUUUACAUAUAUAUAGUAAAUCUUUUGUUCUUUUUUUCUUGAACAUAUAUAAUACAUCUUUGAUUCAGGAUAUACUUCAUUAUAAAAUUAUUUUUUUCUAAAAACAUAUCUCAUAAUGUCCUAAAUUAUUAAAAUUUUGAGUUUUAAUAACAAUAAAAUUUUUUAAUGAUAUCAUUUUAUGUGUAAAAUAUGUGUAUUCAAAUUAAUUAAAAGGCAAAUAAUUAUUAAAAGGAAUCAUGUAUUUCCUUUAAUUGAUAAUAGGUGAAAUCACAUUAAAAUCUUAAAUUAAGGCAAACUUAAUCACGUUUACGAAAAAAUAUUUAAUUUGAUUUUUUCCAUUUAACUUUUUAAUUAUAGGUAGUAUCCAUAUGAUAAUAAGUUACUCUUAAAUAUUUUUUGGAUAUAUGCAUGUGUAAAUUUUAUUAAGUGUUUAAUUAAGUAUUAAAAAAUAUUAUUCAUUGAAUGUUUGAAUAUUUUAAAAAUAUUAUUCUCUUAAAUAUCAUUUGAAUAGAUACAUAUGUAACUUUUAUAUUUUUGUUAAAAAUAAUAUUUUUAUGCAUAAUUAUAUAUAGAAAAAAUAACUCGUGCAUAGCACGAGCUACAAACUAGUAAUAUUUAAAUUUUAAAAUUUUUUAAUAUGAUAUUUGAAUUAUAAAUUUAUUAAUUAAUGUGAUACUUAUUCCUAAUAUGAUUAGUUUUAAAUAAUAAUACGUGAUGAUAAAUAAUCUUUCAAGUACCACAUUAAUUAAUGAAUUGAUAGUUUAGGUAUUAAAUUAGAUAUUUUUAAAAUUCAGAUACUACAUUAAAUAUUUUAUUAUAGUUUAAGGGUCAUUCAUAAUAUUAUCACAAUCUAGUAUAUAUACCAACUUAAUUGUUAUUUUAUCGAGUUAAGACUAGAUACUUAAAAGAUUUAUAUACACACAUAUACACACAAAAGAUAACUUCAAUAUAUUAACUUGAAAAAAAAGUCUGUAAGAUAAUUUUUUUUUUUUUUACAUAAAUACUAUCAAACAAUAUCACGUGUUUUGAUUAUAAUCAACAAUUCAAUUUUUAAAAUUAAAAUUACAAACUAAUUUAAUUUUAACUAUUUUUCAAUUAUCGGCCAAAAAACAUUGUUAACUUUUCAAUAGCUUUAAUUUUAAUUUUUUUUUAAGUAUGAAUUUUUUUUUCUAUUGUUUAUAGAGUAUAAGUCUUAUUGGCCAUUCAAUAACUUUCAUUUUAUUUUGAAUUCUCUAAAAUUUUUUUAUACUUACAUUAACUUAAUUUUGGGUAUUUGAUUACAAAAAUAAAAAGAAUUGAUAGGUCAAAUUAUAUAUUUAAAAUUUAAACUCUAUAAUAAUAUGUAACUAAAGGAGACAAAAAAAAAUUUAUAAUAAUAUGUAAUUGAUUGAUAACUCAAUCUUUGAGAUUCACAUUUUGUGAGUGUAUAUGUUGUCUAUAUAUAUAAUGAUGAUAUGAUGAAUUUGACAAAUACAACAACUAUUGUAAAAAAAUUUUCAUUUGUGUUCUUUAAUUCCUUUUUUUUUCUUAAUACAUUAUUUAAAUAAUGGUAUGACUUUCUAAUAGACCUGACAAUUUAUGUAUUUGUAAUGUGUAAAAUAAUAAAAAUUUAUGUAUUGAUUAUGUGUUUUACACAAAAAUUAUGUGUCACAAUUCAUGUUAAUACAAAAAUAUGAAAUAAAUUUUUUUGUUUUGUUAAACCUAUUUAUAGUUUUUGCUAAAAUUUUAAACAAUAUUAUUUUCAUCUUUUUUAUUCAUAUUGUUUUCAUGUCAUGUCAUCAUAUCAUAUUUGAAAUUAUCAGGUCUACUUUUUGAUAUUUUACACCAAUAUUCUAUAUUUUAUAAUAAGCUAUAAAAGGGUGUUGUAAGAUUAUAACUUUGUGAGUAUCAUUAUUUUUGUACCAUAAUCUUUUUUUUAUUUAGUAUUAUAUUUUUAUAAGUAUAUUUUCCUUAAUUAUUCAAGUUAGAAUUAUUAGAUUAAUCUUAAUUAUGGUUAUUUGAUUUUUUCUUUUUAUUUCAGUUUUGAUUUAGUGUUCUUGAAUAUUUUACUAUGAAAAUUAAUUGAUAAUUAUAUUUUUUUCAAUUUUAUAGUUGCAAGGUUUUCAUAUUAAAACAAAAAGUUAUAAUGUUAAAAAAAGAAUGUGAAUGAUGGUUAAUAUUUUUAUCAAAACUUAAAUUUUUUUAUAGACCUCUUUGAAUGAUUUGAUUUGAUCUAGUUAUAUAUUUUUUUUAUUUUUUUAUUUAUUAUUAAUAUUUGGCACUUAUGUAUUUAUAUCUCUAUGAUGAAUUCAUUAUUUAAUUUCCCAAUAAAAAAUGAUUAAAAGUCUACUUUUUUCUUUUUUUUAUUUGAUUAUUAAAUAUUUCAUUUGUAAUAAAUAGGGAGAGAAACUAUUCUUCACUUGUUUUUAUUUACAGUUUUAUUCUUUAUUUUUUCUUUUGUAUGUGGUUUAACAUAAAAUUAAACCAAUUUGAUAUUAUUUGAACUUAUAUUAGGUUUUCAACAUAUUAGGUUUUCAACUUAAAGUUUAUACAUAUAUAAUAAAUCUUUGAUUCUUUCUUUUUUACAUAUAUAUAGUAAAUCUUUUGUUAUUUUUUUCUUAGACAUAUAUAAUACAUCUUUGAUGUAUCAUAUACUUCAUUAUAAAAUUAUUUUUUUUCCAAAAGCAUAUCUUACAGUGUCCUAAAUUAUUACAAUUUUGAGUUUUAAUAGCAAUAAAAUUUUUUAAUGAUAUCAUUUUAUGACUAAAAUAUGUGUAGUCAAAUUAAUAAAAAGGCAAAUAAUUAUUAAAAGGAAUCAUGCAUUUCCUUUAAUUGAUUAAUAGGUGAAAAUCACAUUAAAAUCUUAAAUUAAGGCAAACUUAAUCACAUUUAUGAGAAAAUAUUUAAUUUGAUUUUUUCCAUUUAACUUUUUAAUUACAUGUAGUAUUCAUAUGAUAAUGAGUUGCUCUUAAAUAUCAAUCGGAUAUAUGCAUGUGUAACUUUUAUUAAGUGUUUAAUUAAGUAUUAAACAAUAUUAUUCAUUGAAUGUUUGAAUAUUUUAAAAAUAUUAUUCUUGUAGAUAUCAUUUGAAUAUAUUCAUAUGUAACUUUUAUAUUUUUGUUAAAAAUAAUAUUUUUAUAUAUAAUUAUAUAUAAGAAAAAUAACUCAUGCAUAGCACGAGCUACAAACUAAUAAUAUUUAAAUUUUAAAAUUUUUAAAUAUAAUAUUUGAAUUAUAAAUUUAUUAAUUAAUGUGAUACUUAUUCAUAAUAUAAUUAAUUUUAAAUAACGAUAUGUGAUUAUAAAUAACCCUUCAAGUACCAUAUUAAUUAAUGAAUUGAUAGUUCAGGUAUUAAAUUAGAUAUUUUUUAAAUUCAAAUAUUACAUUAAAUAUUUUACUAUAGUUUAAAGAUCAUUCAUAAUAUUAUCACAUUCUAGUUUAUAUACCAACUUAAUUGUUAUUUUAUCGAGUUAAGACUAGAUGCUUAAAAGAUUUAUUCAAAAUUUCAACUUUUUUUUUUCACAAGAGGUCAUAGUUUGAGAUUAAAAAAAUGGAUUGCAAGUGUUAGAAUUUAAAUUUCAGACUUACUAAAUGAUACCUCUUAUAUGUGGAUAUAUAAACUAACUAAAUUAAGUUAUAGAUCCAACCCAAUCCAACUUCAUUUAUAAAGAAAAAUCAUCAAUUUGAAAAAUCAACAAUUUGAACUCGACCAAACUCUAUUUGUACAACAACAAUAAUAAAUAAAGUUUUAUAUCCCAUAAUUUUACGGUUGGUUAUAUGAAAGGGAAAAAAAAUAAAUCAUGUUAGAUUGUAGUUUUAAAUCUUCUUAUAACACUCAUUUAUAUAUAUAUAUAUAUAUAUAUAGCAUCUUCAUUACUUUCUUAACUCUCAUAUCAUUUCUUAUUAUUUGCAUCAACAUUUUUGAUGAUUUUCCUCUAAAAUUUUUGAAUGUAAAUAAAAGGUUAAGCACUUAUUUGAGUACAAAUUAAAGUCUAAGAAUUAAUUUGAGUUCAACAAAUUUAUAAGGAUUUAUCUAAAUAAAAUGAUAAAUUUUAAAUUUUUAUUAUUAUUUUAACCAAAAUUUUCUAAAAACAUGUCAAAAGAAUGCCCCAAGCACCCCCACUUGCGUAAUAGAAAAAAAUUAUCAAAUAAACUUUUUUAAUUUUUAGUUUAGUCCUUAAAACUUUAAAUCUUUAGCCAAACACUAAAAAAAUUCAAAUGAUAUAUGCAUGGAAAAUGUAUGAGACAUAUUCUAACCAUAUAAAUUUCAUACAUGGAAUUUGAAACAUGUGAGAAAAAUAUAAAGUCAAAGUUUUGAUUUUUCGAGUUUGAUUAUGAUUUUUCUCUUAAAUCAUAAGUGCUUUAGUACCAAAUUUUUAUAAAAAAUUCAAAUAAUCUUAGGGCACAUAUUUAUGUAAAAAUUUUAGUCUAAAGCAUUUGUUUAAAUUUUUAUUAUUAAAAAUCAUUCUAAGUUAUUAAAAAUAUUCUAGUAUACCAAACAACUAUAGAAGCAAAUCUAAAAGUGAAAACAAGCAUAACAAUGUUUUGAUUCCACUAUAGGAACUUAUUGAAAAACAUAUUUAAGAAUAUUUGUAAAUUUAAGAUUAUUUGCUCCAAUGCUAAUAUGAAUUCCCAAUAUUAAUUUACUUAUAUUUGCUUCAUGAAUCUUAAAAGAUUUAUUUUUUAUAUUAUUUUUUAAACAACUUCUUGGAUCUUGUUAGGCAAUGAAACAAUUUUUAGAACUUAUCAUAAAUUUUAUACUAAGUUUUAGGGUCUGAAGUAGAUAACCAAAGAUUAGGUAACAAGAUCUUUUUACUAUAAUAAUUAAAAUUAUUACUCCUUCUGUUUUAAAUUAUUUGGAUGGUAUUAACUUUUACAGAAUUUUUAAAAAAAAUAACUUUAAUGUAUUUAAUGUUAAAAUUAAAUUUUCAGGAAUUUUAAUAUCAAAAAGUAAAAAUAUUUAAAAUAAAAAAAUAAGAAAAAAGGAGAAGUUCUUUUUGUUAAUUUCUAUAAAUAUGUCUGUCAAUUAAUAUAGCACAUAUUUCAAUUAUUGGGAAUAGAUUUUUAAUAACAUUUAUGCAAAAUUAUAUUAAGAAAAAAAAUUCUCAAUUAACUAAUGUUCUAAAUUAGAUAAUGUCUACUAAUAAAUUUGCAUCCAUUUGACCCACCAAUAUUUGGAAUCAUCAUCGAAUCUUGGACUCUUCCAAGUUCCAACUUUGGUAAAAUAAUAAUAAAAAAAAAGUCCACGUUCCAAUGUUUGAUAUAAAGGUGUGGAAAGUUGGACCUAAAAUGAUCCACACAAUCAAUUCUAUGAUAGUGAGCAGUUUCAUGGUAGGGAAUCCUCUUCCAACUUCUAUACCAUACCAAUUAAAUAAAAUCAUCCAAAACAAAUUUGAGUAAAAUUUAGAGACUAUGUACAAAAAUAGUCUUCAAGUUAAAAUUCACUUAAUCUCGAAAAUAAAUAAUUUUGGAUUCGUGAUUCUUUAUUGAUGUUAUUUAUGAUUGCAUGAUUUUAUAUGAUAAGACACAUCUUAUCCUAAUUAAGUUAUAAUUAUAGUAAAUCUCUUUGUCUUAAACUAUAUAUAAAUUAAAAUUUAAUUUAAUUAAUUUAUAUUUUAAUAAAUUUAGAAUUUAAAUUUUAAUAUUUGUAAUCUCUAAUUAUUUUUUUUAUAUUACAAUUUUCUCUCAACAAAAAGAAAAUUUUAUAUUACAAAGAAAUAACAAAGUUAAACGUUAACAAAUGAUUAGCUCAAUGGUUAAAGUUUGUGUCCAAUAGUAGAAGUUUUAAGCUUCAUUUAGAUAGGUGAUGAAAUUGGUUACAAUGAGAUUAAAAAUUGUAAUAAAAUUUAUUAUAGCUAUGAUUGAAAAAAUUUAUUAUAAUUAUAAUUAAAAAAAAUUUUAAUGAAAAAUUUAUAUCGAUUUGAUUUCAUUAGAAUUAUCGUUUGAAUUCAAUUAAAAAUGCGAUGAACUUAAUUACGUCACAUUGAUCACAUUGAAAGUGCGAUAGGAUUUAAAUGGCUACUUAGCUAAUUCUCUUGGUAUAAAGGAUUGAAAAAAAAUGUAACUAUUUGGAUUACAAUUCAAAUUUUAAAUUAAUUUCUUUAAAGAAAUGUGUAAACAUUUGAAUUAAUCUUCAAAUUUAUCUUUUACUAGCUUAAUCUUAAAAUGUUUGCCAUCUAAUGCCUCAUGAUACAUCAUAUUAUGAAUUAAGAAUCAAACAAUUUAUUUAUUUAAAAAAAUCGAAUAUCUUAUUAAGAAUUUUUUUCUUUGAAAAAAACUACAAAAGGAAAAGUGAUAGCCGCGUGGGACAGCGAGGCCGACCCACAUUCUAUGUGUAUUCUGGCAUGGUGCCAACCUGCAAAAUAAAAAUCAACAAAAACGGAAGACAUCACAAUCAAAAUAAAUCUCACCCGUUAUUAUGUGUGCGACGCGCCGGCGUUGAAAGUCUUCAAUUCUGCAGACUCCUUCAUCCAUUGAACUAAGACGCCUGUAUGAAUGACACUGCUGUCGCUCCAAGAGAGGCCCUUGCCCCCUUCCCCCCAGCAUCCUUGAAUUUUGGGAUCAUCUUUGAAUAGCUUUCAUUACUAUUUAUUUUAAUUUUUUCUCACAUCUUAUCAUAUCUUCUUCAUUUAUUUUGUGGGUGAGAAUGAAAGGUAUGCCUUUUUUUUUUUUUUUAAUGAAUUUGGUUUUAUUUGUUUGCAUAAAUAAAAAAGGGUUUUUGUUUUGGCAAUUAAAAUGUUGCUACUUGUAGUAUUAAAAACAUAUAUUGCUACUUGUAGUUUUUGGGAUUAAGUUGAAUCUUCUAAACUUUAUGUCAGUACUAUAACUUACAUGGAUCCAAAUUAGUGUGUUUUAUAUGUAUUAGAUAUGUAGUUGUAGUUAUAUAUCAAUUUAAUUAUUAUUUUAUUGAGUUAGGGUAAAGUUAGUACUAUAACUUACAUGGAUCCAAAUCAUCUAUUAGAAUUCAAACUCAAUAUAAUUUUAUUUUAUCAAGAAAAAUUAAUUUAAAUAUAAAAUAAUAAUAAGUGAUGGAUAAAUAAUUUUUUAAAUAUUAUAUUAAUUAACAUAUUUAUAAUUUAAGUAUCACAUUAAAUAUUUUAAAAUUUAAGUAUCAUAUUAAAUAUUUCACUAUAAUUUAUAAAUCAUUUAAUAUAUUAACUCAAUUCUUAAUCAAUUGAAUUAUUGUGUUUCUCUAUAAGAAGAAUGCGUGGCUCUUAUCUAGCAAAUGAGUUUGAAAUUACGUUUACUAAAGUUAAGAAAAAAGAAAGACAAAGGUAUCAAGUUUAAGUAAAUAGCAUCUGUAGUCUCUAAAUUUUGAGUUAAAUUUUAUUUUGAUUCUUAAAUUUUAAAAAAUUUUAAUUAGAUCUCAAUUGUCUAAAGGUAUUAUAUUUUGAUUAUUUUGCCUAUGAAAAUUGUCUAAAUUAAUAGUAAAUACCGACUAACAUCAUAUGAAUGAUGUAAUUGACAUCUUGUGUGACAGAUUGAUUGAUAAAGGGACCAAAAUAGAAUUUUGUUUAAAGUUUAAGGACAAAAAAUGUGAGUAUCCCGAAUUUUUUAUAUUUCAAAUUUGCCAAUAAACACCAUACACAUGGCGUUAGUUGGCAUUUAAUAUUAAUUUAGAUGAUUUUAUAAAUAAAAAGGUUAAAUUAAGAUAACUUUAAAUAUUAAAAAUCUAACUUGAACUUUUUAAAAAUUAAAAAUCAAAAUAAAUUUAAUUCAAAAUUUAAGGAUUAUAGAAAUUAUUAACUCUAUAAAAUGAGUCAAAUAUUUGAAAAUUAUUUUUUAACAUGGUGGCUAUGUAUAAAUGUUCAACGUCCCCCUAAAAAAAAGGUUGUUAAAAGUCGUGUUAGAAUGUUUAAUUGACUAGGGAAAUGCAUGGCAGCUAAUAAUUUCCAAACAACUCAACGAUACCAAAUUGUUGGUUUCAAUACUUUGAACAUUGAUUUCUACCUAGUUAAAGCGAAUGAAAGUUUGUCCAAUCCAAUUUGUCAAUAUCUUUAUUGUAACAGUUUUGUGUCCGUCCGAUGAAUUUAGAAAAAAAAAAAAUAAUAACAGAGUCGUCAUCAAUUUUUUUUUACUAUGUGCGAUUGACCAUUUACUAAAACAUAUCAUUUUAAUAAAGUUUUAAAAUUAAUUAAAAUUUAUUAAAAAAGUAAUUUUACUGUCUACGAAAUAGUCUAAGUUUGCGAGUCGAUUAUGUGUGGGGAAUGAUUAGCACCCUCACAAUGCCUGUUAAAAACGGUACCAAUUAACAACGUGUUAUCCUUUGAUUUUGAUAAAAAUAGUCCAAUUUUCGAUGUUCGAAAAAUAAUUUUCUUGAUUUUUUAUUUAUUAGAAAAAAACUUUUAUUCUCAAGAAAAAUAAAUUAAAACUUUUUUAUUGAAAUAAUUUUAAAAUGUUACAGUACGUGGUAACAUUAAAAGAAUUUAAAAUGUUACCAUGUUGAUGCACACAUUUUAUUCUCCUUUGUUAGAAAUUUUAUUAAUUAUUUAUAUUUUAUUUAAAAUUUUGAAGAAAAAUGAAAAUUUUUUUAUAUUGAAGAUUUUCUAUAAAUAUUUCAAUACACUGGUAAUAUUAAGAAAAAAAUCUUUUUAUCUAGGGAUUCCUUAAAGCAUCUCUACUCGGAAUACUAAGAUUGUUGGUUCGAUCCGUCUUUCAGGCUUUUUUGGGGUUUAGACACAUAUUAUUUGCUAUUGAUAAUUCUAGGCGUUUUCUUGGCAUAAAUGCCUUCACCAAUCGCUUUAAAAAAUUUAUCAUAGAAUAUUAAAGGCAUUUUUGAUUGAGAGACACCUUUAAUAAUCGAUAAAAAAAAAAUAGGGUCGAUUAUUGAAGGCAUUUUUGGCCAAACUCGCCUUCUAUAAUUCAGUAAUUUUUUUUUUGAAUUUUUAAAGGCGGUUUUAUAAUAAACACCUUCAAAUAUUUCAUAGACAAAAUUUGGAUGGGAUGGUUGAAAGCGUUUUUGGCUUAAAACGCCUUUAAUAGUUGUAGGGAUAAUUUUUAAUGGUCGGAUUAUUGAAGGUGACUAUAUCCAAAAACGCCUUCAUAACUUUUUAUUGGGAUUAUUCAAGGCAUUACUAGUAGAAAAAUACUAUUCAUAAUUCAUUCGAUUUAUUUUUAGUUGGUAUUAUUGAAUGUAUUUUUUUGCCCAAAAUGCCUUUAAUAUUUAAGACAAUAAUUUCUUAGGGGGUUAUUGAAGGCGAUUUUGGUAAAAAAUACCUUUAAUAUUUUUUGUAGGGGUGAAUGAAAGCGUUUUCUUGCUAAAAAUACCUUCAUUAAUCGCAUUAAAUAAACAUAAUUAAUAUGUGAAGUCAAUUGUACGUUUAUGCCUAGAAAACAUUUGGUUUAUAUAUCUGAUACUAUGAAUUACAUUUUGGAAUUUGCAUAAUGAACAUUAUUGUUUUUCAAAAACUUUAUCACACAUCUGAAAUUAAAAUUGAUAAUGUUGCCAUAUUACUAUACUUUUUUGAAAUAAUCGUACUCAGUAAUUUAAUAAUUACAGAUAGUGUAUUCAUAUUAAGUAUAUCAAUAAUAUUAAACCAAUACCCCCAAUGUACAAACUUAAAGUUUCCAUUCAACAUUGCAUGUUAAAAACAUCAUAACAAUUUGUUCUAUAUAUAUUUACAAUCAACCAACAAUGAUAAUACAUAAUCACACCAUUCUUUACGGACUUCAUCUAGCUCCUUUUCUGUGAAGCUUUCUUUACCCUCUCACUAAAAAAAAUAUCAGAAGUAAAUGUUAAGAAAUGAGAUCAUAAUGUACCAUUUUAUUUUUUUGAAUAUAUAACGAGUUUAUGAAAUUUAUACUAACUUUGAAUGGUGUGUUCAUAAAAUCAUGUAACACAAUCUCCCGCAUAACACAAAUGACAUAAUAUCCACAUUCAGUAUUACCGGAUUGACGACGAACCUGAAAAUUAAAUUAAGUCGGUUUAGAAAAUAGUUAUCUACACAAACUCAGCAUUAAAAGAAUAAAUUUGACAUUUACUGGUAAUGACACCCAUUUUUAUUUCUUUAUCUUCUUAUUGAAUGCAUAUAUUACCCUAAAUUAAAAAGAAAAAAAAUUAGUGAGAACCUAAAUAAAAUUCACAAUAUGAAGAAACAAAACAUAUAUAAUAUAAUAAAAUACUGUAAUACCUCUUUAUAAAAGUUUCGAUGUCGGGGUUAGGCAUCCCCGUUGGAUUAACUGAAUUAAGAAGGUAUGGCGUUAAGGAUUUGGUGUCAAACACAAUAAGUACCCAAUGACGACUGUAAAAUAACAACAAUGAUAUACUCAGAAUAAACAUCAAAUCAUAAAAUGGAGCAAGUUGGAGUAAUUAAGGUUUAAAUAUAGCUUACAACACAUUAUACGAAAGCAAAUAAUAAUCAGCCAGUCUUUUCAUACAUUGGAUCACAUGAUUAGCACGAUACACAAAUAUGCCACUCUGCUCAUUAAUGAAGUUGGAGUCAAUGAAUUGAAAUUUAUUCGUCAACUGUUUCCCUUUCAGCUCUCUAUAUAGGAAGCUACACGAUAACAAUCAAUACUGUCGGUUACUAUUACACCCUAAUACUAACUUAUUACAUAUUGAAUGUGCAUAUUUGUAUUUAUAAGCUUACCUCAUAUAAGUAACGAUUUCAGCAGUUGAUAAUUCAUCCAUUUCACAAAAUUCUUUCACCUCAUCCACACCAAUGAAAGAAAAUGAUUGUUUAUCAAAUAAGUUUUCCUCAGCCUUAAUGGAUAUGAAGUUUCCACCUGUAUAUUUGUCUAGUGAAUAUUUUGUUAACUUAUCCAUGGAAGUCUAGGCAAAGGUUAGACGUUGAGGCUAAACGUCCUCCUACAAUAUUAAACUUAUCUAUAAGUAUUAAAACCAAAUCAAUCAAUAUAAUAAUCAAAUUAUUAUUCAAAUUAUAACAAAAAUUUUACUUCUUGGGUGGUAGCGGAUGAUGGGAUUGCUUCAUUACUUGCAUCGACAGCUUCUUGCACAGGGACGAUACUAUUAGGUUGGGGUACUGACUUUACCUGCUGCAUUGCUACCAAUAUGGACUCCAAAGCAACGAGUCUUUGCUGUUGGUCAUUGAAGCGUUGCUCCUGGUCAUUAAUUUGUUGCUAUUGUUGCAAAAUUAUUGCUUCAUAUUAUGCAUUUCUCAUUCUUGGGGUUUUUGCUUAUUUACCAAAAUACAUGAUGGCAAGACAAAUUUACCAACCCCAUGAACCCGAUCGGGACUUUCUUUAGCGCCUAAUGCUAAAGACAAAGGAUAUUCACCAUACUGGGUUACUAGUUCACCAGAUUUAACUUUGGUAGCAUAAUCAUCCUGAAAGAUAAUAAUAAGUUAGGCUGUUAGAAUAUAUCUACACAAGCUAGUAUACACUUAUGCAUACAACCACAUUGCCAAUCAUACAUUAUAGAGUAGUUAUACAUAUAAUCUUUUUUGUCAGUUCCUCAGUUGCUUCAUUUACGAAGGAUCCAUCCUUUUGUAGAUGUCUUUAUUUUCAGACAUUCCAUCUGAAAACUUUUUUGUUUAAACUCACUAAUUCCUAUUAAAUUAUCCUAAUAAAAGAAUCAGAAUGUAUAAAGUGAAUGUUCAUAAAUAUUCACUAAUGAGUAUAAAACAGGUGUGCGAAGACAUACAAGCUCAUACUUCACAGUUGCAUAUCAUUUUCUUGUUGUCCGAUGAUGAUAUUGCUGUUUGGCCUGAAUGUCUCGAUGUUGUUCUAUGAUUUUUUACAAAAUCAAGAAAUUACGUUAAUCACAUAUAAAAAUCAAAGGCUAUAUUGUAUAAAGACUUAUAAACUUGGUUUAAUUUGGUAAUAAGUUUGCGUAUCGAAAAGUUUUCUGAAAGCCGAUAUUGAACAAAAUUUGUCCAAUCUUUCACACUUAUGACAUCUGCAUAUGCCGUAGGUGGAAUAGCCAAAACAUAACCUUCACCAGCCAUCGAUAAAAUAUAUUGAGUUGUCAAUCUGCUUUUAAAGUCUCUGAAAGCUUUUCCAGCAGAUUGUAACACAAUCUUUUUACACUCAAUUGAGAAGUCGAACCAUUCCUAAAUAAGUUAACACAAAUAGUAUCAACACAUUGAAUUUCAUUUAAAUGAUCAUAUAAUAAAGUUUACGAAAUAGUUGCAUAAACAUACCACAACGGACUGCCAUAUCUCAUCAUUUAGAUAAUCAAAAACUUUUCACCAAUUGGUGUACGUAAUUAAAAUUCUCCUACGGAUGAUGGCCCCAAUAUGAGUAGCCAUCUUGGCAGCUCCUUUCGAUACAGGCUACCCACUUUGAUUGAAGUCAACAUAAACUUUUAUGUCAGCCAGUUUGAUUUAUUUAUUUGGGCCCCUUCCCUUUUUUUUUUUGCUUACACUUCUUUCUUUUGCAUGUUCAUUAAAAGGAGAAUAAUGUUGUUCGAAGUCCAUAUUACCUACAAUAUUGAUCAUAAUUAUAUAAAUUAUACAAUACGACCCUCUAAAUUGAUCAUUGUACUUAAUUUAAUACAACUAAUACCAUACUGAGAACAGAAACAUCAUUUAGCACAUUAUUCAGCAAUGUGCUCAUACACACCCUUUAGCAAACUACUCAAAAACACCAUUCAGCCCCCAUUCAAACCUAUUUAGCAAAACAAUAUCAGACAACAAGUUCAACAAACCAUUCAGCAUGAAAUAUUAUUCAAACCCCUAAUAUCAUACAAUAUCAUUCGGUAAUACAAUAUCAGUCAACAAGGUUCAACAAACCACAACCUAGAGGAAUGCAUACUACAUAGAAAUAGCAUACUUGCCAAUAUUAAUGAAAAUAUAUAAACGCAUAUGCCAAUAUUAAGGAACUGAAAAAACAAAAAUUCUCUAUUGAAGGCGUAAAUAAUACAGUAAACUAAAAAAAAAAAGAAUUACCAACUUAAAACAGAGGUUCGCAAUGGUGAUUUGUUGAAGGUCAGAGGUGAAGAAUUGGAGAAAGAAAGCAAUGGUCUAGUAAAAAUGUGUUUAGGGGUUUGAUUUGUUUGGUAGAAUAACGCAGCUUCUAAUCGUUCUGUGUACCAGGACUCUGUAACUUCCUAUGUUCAAGGUAGGGAAAUGAAUAUAAAAUUAAUUAAUAAAGGCAUUUCCAUGGAACAACACCUUUGAUAAUCACUUGAAAAUUUUAUUGGAGAUUAUAAAAAAUGUUUCUUCUAAAAAAGAUGCCUUUAAUUAUAAGCCUUUAAAAUUGUCCAACCAACUUAUUAAAGGCAUUUUUUUAUAAAAAAAAUGCCUUUUCUAGAUUUUAAAAAUUAUAAAAAGUGUUUUCAGAAAAAAAUCACCUUCAAUAAGUAUGGAUUUUCAGAGUUUAUAACAAAUUAUUAAAUGCAGCUUAUAAUAAAAUAUUCCUUUAAUAAUCCGAGAAAAUUUUUUUAAAAAAAUAUUAAAGGCGUUGUUAUCUGAAACCACCUUCAAUAAUUAUAUACAAACUGUGAUAGGAAUUAUUAAAGGCAUCUAUCUUAAAUAUAUGCCUUUAAUAACAAUGUUACAAUUUGUGUGGUGUUAUAUAAAAGGUAUUUUACAGUAGAAGACGCCUUUACUAAUUCCCAAAAUAUUUAGUGAAAAAAUUUUGAAAGCUUCAGUUAUUAACAAAUGCCUUCAGUAAUUGAAGGAGCCAUUUCUAAUAAACGCCUUCGAUUACCAUCGUGGUAUAUUGAAGGUGUUUUAUAACAAAAGAUGCAAUUAAUAAUCCUAGAAACUUUAUUAGAAAAAUUAUUGAAGGCAUUGUUUUCUACAAUCGCCUUCAAUAAUUAUAUACAACUGUGAUAGGAAUUAUUAAAAGCGUUUAUCUUAAAUAUACACCUUCAAUAAUAGUGUUACAAUUUGUGUGGUGGUAUAUAGAAGGUAUUUUACAGUAGAAGACGCCUUUAUUAAUUCUCAAAAUAUUUAGUGAGAAAAUUUUGAUGGCGUCUGUUAUUAACAAUCAUAUUUAGUAAUUGAAGGCGUCUUUUCUAAUAAAUGCUUUCAAUUACCAUCGUGGUAUAUUGAAGGUAUUUUAUAAUAAAAGACGCUUUUAAUAAUCCUGAAAACUUUUAUUAGAAAAAUUAUUAAAGGUGUUGUUUUCUAAAAUCGCCUUCAGUAAUUAUAUACAACCUGUGAUAGAAAUUAUUAAAGGCGUCUAUCUUAAAUAUACGCUUUCAAUAACAAUGUUACAAUUUGUGUUAUGGUAUAUAGAAGGUAUUUUACAGUAGAAGAUGCCUUUACUAAUUCUCAAAAUAUUUAGUGAGAAAAUGUUGAUGGCAUUUGUUAUUAACAAACACCUUCAGUAAUUAAAGGUGCCUUUUCUAAUAAACGUCUUCGAUUACCAUCGUGGUAUAUUAAAGGCAUUUUAUAAUAAAAGACGCUUUUAAUCAUCCAGAAAACUUUUAUUAGGAAAAUUAUUAAAGGCGUUGUUUUCUAAAACUGCCUUCAGUAAUUAUAUACAAACUGUGAUAAAAAUUAUUAAAGGCGUCAAUCUUAAAUAUACACCUUCAAUAAUAGUGUUACAAUUUGUGUGAUGGUAUAUAGAAGGUAUUUUAUAGUAAAAGAUGCAUUUACUAAUUCCCAAAAUAUUUAGUAAGAAAAUUUUGAUGGCAUAUAUUAUUAACAAAUGCCUUCAGUAAUUAAAGGUACCUUUUCUAAUAAAUGCCUUCCAUCACCAUCGUAGUAUAUUGAAGGCAUUUUAUAAUGAAAGAUGCCUUUAAUAAUCUGAAAAAAUUUUAUUAGAAAAAUUAUUGAAGGUGUUAUUUUCUGAAAUCGCCUUCAGUAAUUAUAUACAAACUGUGAGAGAAAUUAUUAAAAGCAUUUAUCUUAAAUAUACGUCUUUAAUAACAGUGUUACAAUAUGUGUAACAGUAUAUAAAAGGUAUUUUAUAGUAGAAGACGCCUUUAAUAAUUUCUAAAAUAUUUAGUGAAAAAAUUUUGAAGGCGUCUGUUUCUAACAGAUGCCUUCUAUAAUGGAUUACUAAGUUUAAAGGUAUAUUAAAGGCACUUGUUCAAAUAAACACCUUCUAUUACCAUCGUCGUAUAUUGAAUAUGUGUCAUAAUAAAAGACGCCUUCAAUAAUCAACGAAAUUUUUUUUAGUGAAAUUAUUAAAGGCGUUAUUUUCUGCAAUAGCCUUCAGUAAUUAACUACAAACUGUUAUAUGAAUUAUUAAAGGUGUCUUUAUUAGAUAUACACCUUUAAUAACAAUGUUAGAAUUUCUAUGGCGAUAUGUUCAAGGCGCUUAUAAUAUAUUCAAAAAAUAUUUGGGAGGUAAUUAUUGUUGGUGUUUUUUGUUAGUAAAUGCCUUUCAUAAUCCUGUCCAAUAAAAAUCUUCCCAAACUUAACGCAUCCAAUCACUAACUUCAAGCUUCAUCUUCAUUAUUAUAUCUUUCCAAAUCAAGUACAAUUUACUUUCCCUUUUCUUCCGCUUUUAGUAUUUGAGCAUUGUCUUUUAGAACCCUAUUUCGACUAUUAAUAACUUAUUGACUUUAGCUUUUACUUCAUUCAACUAUUCCUUUAUCUCUUGCAAAUCAUGAUUUUUUUUCGUGAAAAUUUUUUUUUACAAAACCUACCUUAUUCCACCUUAUGUCAACCCCAAUACCAUAUACCCUUUGGUACUGUCUGCGUUAGCAGUAGAGUUUUAACAAUCAUAAUCUCUGAUAGCUGAUAAAUUACUUCACACCAAAGAGUUAUCGUUUUGUGUAAGUACUGUUCUUCUUAUUAUCUUUUGUUUAAAACAUAGUAAACUAUGCAAUUGUACAUGUUUAUUUUCAUAUUAAUUAUUUUUAUACAUUUGGUCUAAUUAUGUAGCAACUAAUAAAUGGAUAAAAGUUGGAUGCAAAAGUCUAGAUUAAGUCAAGAGUAUAGAGAUGGAGUGAAAAAUUUUCUUAAUUUUGCAUUUGAGAAUACAAGUGAAGAUAAUAUGAUAUUAUGCCCAUAUGUAAAAUGUGCUAAUAUCGAGUAGCAAAUGCGUCAAGUUGUUUAUGAGCAUUUAAUUUGUAUUAGAUUUCUAUCCGGAUAUGUUAAUUGAUAUUUUCAUGGAGACUCUAUACCGUCAAGGUCUUCCACUAUAGUUCUUUCAACAUCAAAGGCUCCCCAUCACCAACAUGAUCCUUUUAUAACAGAUGACAUUGAAGGCAUGUUGCGAGAUGCUUUUAACAGUCAUAACCAAAAUUUUCAUAAUCUUUCUCACAAAAAUGAAAGAUUUAAUCAGUUCAAUAUUGAAAUGCAUGAAUUUGGUAAACUUGGGAUAAGUGUACGUGACCAAUAACCUAGAAGAGAAGUAUCAAAGUUCUAUAGGUUACUUAAGGAAAUGAAUGAAAAACUCUUUGAGGGAUCGAAGCAUUCAAGGUUGUCUUUCUGUGUUCAUCUUUUUCACUUGAAAUGCUUAUGUGGAUGGAUGAAAAACUCUCUGACUUUAUUAUUACAGUUUAUGAAAAAAAAAAAUUUUUUGUAAAAAUCCUUAAAUCUUAUAAGGAAUCAAAGAAGAUGAACAAGGAUUUAGGUCUCGGAUAUGAAAAAAUUUAUAGUUGUCCCAAUGAUUGCAUGUUGUAUUGGGGGGAUAGAAAAAAUCAAGAAUCUUAUCAUUUAUGUGGUAUUUCUCAUUGAGUCGACAAAUAUCUCGAUGAAAGGCUAAAUGAUAAUGGUGAUGAGGUAUGUGUCAAAAAGAAGCCUGUUAAGGUUUUACGUUAUUUUCAUUAAUACCAAGACUGUAACGACUCUACAUGUCUUUCAAAACUUUUUCGUGUAACACAUAUAAAAAAAGAUAGAUCUUACAUGAAUGUCGAGACACAAGAAAUUACAAUAAUUUGUAUAAUCUAUUUUAACAUAAAGUAAAUAUUAACUCUUUUUAACAUAUAAUCAAUUAAUCAUUAAACUUGAUUAUUGUAUAUGAUAAAUUCAUAGGAGAAAACGAAAGAGAAAAUGGCUGCUGAGAUUGAAGUAGCAUCUAAAGGUUCUCUCAACAUGUAAGAAAUAAAAAAUCAGAUAUUCAUAAAAGUUGCUAGAAAAGAAAGGUAUGGAUGGGUCUAAGGCCUUGGAUUGGAUCCAACACCAUCUGCCUACUAUGAACAUAACUCUUCGUAAUUUACAUUCUCAGCAAGUCAGUCUUCGUGACAUAUUUCAAUAUUGAGAGAGGAGUUGCAAACUAUGCAACAAUAUUUUCAGCAAAUUAAAGCAGAAAGAGAACAUGAGCGUGCCAAAAUUGAAGAAGAACAUGCUAAAAUGGAGCUAGAGCGUGCAAAUUUUUAGUAGUUGCAUGAUCGAUUCGAUCAUCUUAUAAAUUUUAUGCAAUAAUAAUUUUCAAGAAAUGAUCUUGGUGCUCCAUCAAUUUAGGUAUUAUAUUUAUUAAAUAUUAAAAUUUUUAAAUAAAAAAUAAGCAUACAAUGAAGUGUUAAAAAUUGUAUGGUAUUAUUCAGUAGGUUGUUGAGCAUACUAGUGACCAAGGUAAAAAAUUUUCUUCAUCAAUUAGCAGCCAGCAAAAUAUAUGUAGUCAUCCAUUUCAUACAUUUUAAUUUUUUAUUUGGUUAAUGUAUUUACAAUAUUUGAAUGUUAUUAUACUAAUUAUUAAACUUUGUAUUAAUUAGAUGUAUAUUUAAACGUGAAUGAAAUUUAUAUUAAUUUCAGUUUCUGAAUUUAAGUUUUUUAUUGAAAAUAAAAUUUAUUAUAAAAAUUAUAAAAAAAAUAUUUUUACAUAAUGACGGUGUUUGCGUUGGGCAAUGCCACUAAAUAAAUAAUUUAGUGGCAUUUGUAGCAUAAAAUGUCAUUAGUGGUAGCGUCGCUCUUUCCAGCAAACGCCGCUAAUUCGGUGAUAUUUUUAUAGAAAUGCCACUAAAGCAAUGGCAUUUUUCUCAUAACAAUGCCACUGAAUUAGCAACGCUUAAAAUAUAUAAACGCCAUAAAUGUUGAGGCAUUUUCUGUUACAAACGCCGUCAAUACAGUGACGUUUUUCUCAUAAAAAUGCCACUGAAAUAACGACGUCUCUAAGAUAUAAAUGCUGCUAAAAUGACGGUGCUUCACAUACAAACGCCACUAAUAUUAAGGUAUUUUUUCAAAAAUGCCGCUAUUUACAAUGACGCAUGUAUAACUGCACUCUGUAUGGCAUUUUUUAAUAAAUGCCGUAACCUUAUAGUAGCGUUAAUAAACACCACUAAAUGGUUAAAGAAACGCCGCUAAAAACCAAAAUUCCUGUAGUGUUUGUUACCUUCUUAAGGACUUGGGAUUAGUUAUUAAGUAUCAAAUGAAAUAAUGUAAUUGAUCUAAUGUAAAACAUAACAUUACAAGAAAACACUCUUAAUAAUUAAAAUUUGAGAGGCUUCAUAUUCAAAUUUAUAGGACGAAUAUUAGGAUUUAUCAAAUGAAAGAGGUCCAAAAUCUUUAUGUAUACACUAUACCAAAAAAAUCAUAAUGUAUAAAAAAAUUUAUAUGCUUAAUUUAUAGUAUAAAUUAAGGUCUUAAAACAUACUUAAUUGAUUGAUUUCAUCCACAGAAGAAUUCAUAUUAAGAAUUUAGACUAAAAAAAGACUAAAUAGGGAAUGUGACAAUUUUUUUAUUUUAAAAAAAUGGAGUGAUUACUUAUUUUAAUUAGUUUUAGGACUUUUAUGUGAUAUAGUGAGAUGAACUCUUAUUACAAGGUAAUUAUGUUUUAUAAUUGAACUUUUAAAGAUUCAAUGAAUAAAACGAUAUACAUGGCACGAUGAGAGUUCUCCCACUUCGUUGGAUGAAUUUUUAAGGGUUAAUGUUAUAAAUCAUCUUUAAACUAUAGUAAGAUAUUCAAUGUAAUAUUUGAAUUUUAAAAAUUUUUAAUAUGUUACUUAAAUUAUGAAUCUAUUAAUAAAUAUGAUACUUACUCUUAAUGUGGCUAACUUCAAAUGAUGAUAUGUGAUUGAUUAACAAUCUUUUAAGUGCCAUACUAAUUUACAUAUUCAUAAGUUAGAUAUUAUAUUAGAAAAUUUUAAAUUUAGGUAUUGUAUUGACUAUUUUAUUUCAAUUUAAGGACAUGACAUUAACUGAAUUUUUAAUCAAUUAAAUUUUUGUAUAUCUCUAGAAGAAGAAUGCGUGGAUCCUAUGUGUCAAAUGAGUUUACAAAUUACGUUUACUAAAGUUAGGAAAAAUAAAAAGACUAAAGUAUAAAAUUAGGGCAAAUAAUACUUGUAGUUCCUAAACUUUAAGUCAAAGUUUAAAUUUUGUCUUUAAUUUUUAAAAAGAUCUAAUUAGAAACUCAAUUGCUUAAAAUUAUCUUAUUUUGAUUUUCUUACCUAUAAAAUUGUUUAAAUUAAUAGUAAAUGCCAACUGACACCACGUGUAUAGUACAAUUGGCAUCUCAUGUGAUAGAUGAACUAAUAAAGAGAUCAAAUAAAAUUUGCUCAAAGAUUAGAGACCAAAGAUGCUACUAUCUCGAAAGUUUUUAUAUUUCAUAUAUAUUUUAUAAAAUAUUAAAUUUAAAUAGUAUUUUUAAAUUUUUAAUAUUUUAUUCAUUAAAUAUAUUUUGUUUUUAAUAGAUUUUCAAAAAUUAAAAUCAAGUUAAAAAUUUCAAAAUUCUUUUGAAAAAAAUUACAUAUCAUUUUAAAAAACUAAGUAAAAAAAUUUUAUACUGGUUUAAAACAUCAGAUAAAAAACUUCAUAUCUUUUUAAAAUAUUAAGUAAAAUUUUUUAAAUUAUUUUAUUUUCAUUGUUAAAAUUUUAUAUUUAUAGAAAAUUUUUAAAAAAAGGUAAUCAAAAUGGUCCUUAUUGCCUCGAUCUGGUAAGGAAAGAAAUCAAAGUAUUGAAAAUAAUAUAUUUUUUAUUUUUUUUAUAAAUAUAACUAAAAUUUAAUUUUUAAAAUAUUUUUUAUUAAAAAUAAUAUUUUACUAAUAAUUAAUAUCAUAAUAAUAAUAAUAAUAAAAUUUAUUUUAAAUGAUAAUAUUAUGUAAAAAAUCAAUUUUUUCUUUAAUUAUUUUUAUUUUUCUUUAAUUUUUCUUUUUUUUAUAAAUUAUAUUUUAUAAAAUAUAAUAGAAAAAGGAAAAAAUAUAUAGUUCAUAUUUCUAAUAGAAAAUAAUUUUUUUAUUAUGAUGUAUUAGUAAAAUAAUAUUUUUAAUAUAAAAUGGUCUUUUAUUUUUUAAUUGAUAUGGAAUUUUUUUCACUAAGAUUUUAAAAUCUUUAACUUAAUUUUAAUUUUUGAAUAUCUAUUUUUUUAUGAAAAACAAAAUAAAUUUAAUUAAUAAAUUAUGUUGCAAGAAAAAAUAAAAAAAUUAUUAUUUUAAAUUUAAUAUUUUAUAAAAUUAUAUUUGAAAUAAAAAAUUGAGAUAAUAACUUCCUUAUUCUCUAAAUUUUAAGUAAAAUUCUAUUUUUGUCCCCUUGUCUACCACAUAAAAUGCUAGUUGACAUUACCCAUGUGGUACCAGUUGAUAUUUAAUGUUAAUUUUAAUGAUUUCAUAAAUGAAAAAAUCAAAUUAGAAUAAUUUUGAGUAAUUCAGAAUCCAAUUAAAUUUUUUAAAAAAUUAAAAAUCAAAAUAUAAUUUAACUCAAAAUUUAAGGACCACGGGAGUUAUUAACUCUAUAGAAUUAAUCAAAUAGUUGAAAAUUUUUUACAUAGAGGUUAGGUUUUAAUGUUCAAAGUCUCCAUAAACAAAAAGAAAAUUAAAAGUCGUGUUGGAAUGUUUAAUUGACUAGGUAAAUGCAUGGCAGCUAUUAUUUCCAUCACCUCAACAAUACCAAAUUGUUGGUUUAAAUACUUUGAACAUGGAUUUCUACCUAGUUAAAGUGAAUGAACCAAGUUUGUCCAAUUCAAUUUGUCAAUAUCUUUAUUUCAUAUCGAUAGUGAAAUUUUUAAAAUUUAUAAAUUAGAUUAAUAAAUUGACACGUAUCUUUUUAUGCAUUAAAAAUAUAAAAAAUUAAUUAAAAAAAUAUGUAUCAAUUUCUUAAUUUUGUUUGUUAAGUUAAAAAAUUUUAUUAAAAAUAUAUCAGAAUCGAACUUUUAUCUUUAAUGUGUAAGAAAAAGAAAUUUGGGCUAAAAAUAUUGGGAAUUUCCACAACUUCAUUGUGUUAUGGCCUUCUUGGCAAUUGUCAUGAAGUUUCGUCCUUCGCUUUGCAAAGUAAAUAAUGGACGGAAAUCAAUUGUCAUUUUUUUUUUCUUGUCAUAAACGUGAGAAAUAAAAAUUGUUUAUAUUUGUGCUAUUACUUUUGCUAUUUAGGCCCAUCACAUUUCCUAGUUCAACUAAAUUUUAGUCCAAUCUUUCUAUUUGGUGUCAUUUACAAAAUAAAGCUUAUAUCCAAAUGCACUUAACAAACUUUAUUUCAAUCGAGAUUGGGAAUUUUAACAAUAUAAGAGAUAUAUGAUUUAGACUUGGUGUUUAAAGUAGAUGAAAACGACAAGUUUUUUGUAAAAUUUAAUUUAAUUAUAUAUGAUUUUCAUAACUUUGAAUUGAUUCUAAAAGAAACUAGGUAAGUGUUGAUCUCCGAUCAAUGAUUUUAAUUUAUAAUUUCAUCGUCGUCGUCAUCAUCAAUAUUAUUAUUAUUAUUAUUUAGUUCUCAUCAAAAUUAAGAAAAUUUAGAUGAACCUUAUAAAAUCAAAAUUCUAAUUAUUUGUUAAAAUUUAUAUUAAAUGAAUUUAUUAGUGUAAUUUAUUAUUAAAACAUUAAAUGUUAUCAUUAUAAGAAAAAAUUUUCCCCUAUAUUUACAGGUGAAAGGAUCAUGCAUAGUUAUAGAUAAUAUUUCAAUAAAACAAUUUUCCAACUUAUAGUAGAAAAAUAGAAACCUUAAAUUGAAAAAAUAAAUAAAUGACGCUCACAAAUAUACUAUUAAUUACAAAUAAGCAAUUUUUAAUUAAAAAUAGUGAUUAAAAGUAAAUUAAUGGCAACUUAAUUUAGCAUAAUUGGUAAUUGUAAAACCUUGCUUUAGUGACAAUAACUCAAUGUUUGUUGGUUGUACUUAUUUGUUUGUGUUUAUGAAUUUUUUCUGAUAAAAAAAAAAUGUUCCCACGUAAGUCAUAAAACAGACAUAUCAGAAUACUUUACAACCAAUCAUCUAACUUUCGGACAAAAAGAAUAAAUUAAUUUGCGUAACAGUUAUAUUAUUAUAAUAAUAAAAUAAUUUCUCAAAUAAUAAAAAAACUUAUUAUUAUUAUUUUCUCUACUUUUUCAUCUAAAAAAAAAUCAUAAUCAAAGGACAAAAAGCAAAACUAGUAAGGAUUAUUAAUUAUUAUAUUUAAAAUUUUUUAUAUUUAUGUUUUAUUUUCACCAAUACAAAAAAAUUAAUGCAUUAAUUAUAUAUAUUUUAAAUAUUAUCUUAACUAGUGUCACUAACCGUUCAUUAACUUUUUUCAACAAAAAAACAAAUUUAAUCAUUUUUUAAUUUUUUUUUGAUAAAUUAUUUAGUCUAUAUGUCAAAAUAAGAUAUAUCGUACAUAACAGUUUAAGACAAAUGAUUACAGAUCGUACAUUCGAAAUGAUUUCAAUAAGUUAUUAACGAUAAAAUUUGAAUUUAAAAUUUUUUUAUCUAUAAUGAUAAAUCUAAUCGAUUGAACUAAUUAAUUAUUAUUAAUUUUUAAUUUCAAUAAAAUUUAUAAAAAAUAUUAAUAACAGUUAAUUAAUAAUUAUUUAAUAAUUAAAAAAUAUUAUGUCUCAAAUUAAUUUAUAAAAUAUUUAAAAAUGUACCCAAAAAGAUUCAGCUAAAUAUGUUGAGAUCUGUCGCCUUGAUUCUGUCUGAUACGGAACAAGACUCGAUACGGAUUUCUUGAUUAAAAAAAAAAAAAAACCAAACGACUCCUUCACAUUAAACCCCUAAAUCAACGGCUGAGAUUAUCCGCAGCCAUCAUUCAACUAUAUAUAUAAACUAAUAUGUCCACCAUUUCCACCUAAAAAAUUUCUCGAAAUCUCUAACUGGUUUCAUUCUUUCAUUAUUCUCUCUCAAAACCCCAAUCCCAAAUCCUUUCAUCUUCUUUCAAGAAAAUUUGAUUACUUUUGUUUUGUUAUUUGAACAUUUAAUCUGAAUAAUUGGUUCAGUUUGUAGAAGAGCUUGGAUACUCGAUUUUUAUUAAAAGAAUAUUUGAUUUAUCGCCUUUUGGCGAGAAAUGAUAAGGGUUUUGACGAUAACAAGAUUGGAGGAGAGCACCUGGACGAUGGCAAAGUCUUUUGGGUCAUUUGGACUAGGGGGAUUACUACUGCUGGCGGCGUUGGCUGCGUCUAUGAUGAUUCUUCCGCUGGUGUUGCCGCCGCUACCGCCUCCGCCAUUGAUGCUUCUGCUGUUUCCAGUUGGGAUCAUGGCUGCUCUCAUGUUCUUGGCGUUUUCCCCCCCGGAGGCUGCUGGAAAUGUCGUUGUUCAUACAGUAUAAGAACACAUGUUAAACGUGUCUUUCAUAGGAAGAUGGUCGGCCAUUGGGUCGGCGGCUCUUCUGCGGUCGUAGAUGUUGUUGAUUUCUUAUGACUAUAUAUUUGUACAACAUUUACAUUACUUUAUUGUUAGUUGUUUCUUACAAAUGAAUUAUACAUUAAAUUUUGAGAAAAAAAAAGAAGAAAUUUGAAAGUAUAAACAUCAUAGAAAAAAUUUGUGAAUAAUUCCCUUUUCUUCUUUGUUUUCUACAUUUAUGGUUUAUUAAUACAAAAAUAAUGCAUUUUAUGGUUUAACGAUAUUAUCAAUGUGUUUAUCAAAAUAAUUAUUUAGUAGAAUAUUUUAUUUUUUG
rnacentral:lncRNA from 1 species